rnacentral:lncRNA from 1 species
AAAUGGCUCAACUUAUUUUUGAAAACAAUUUUUUAAAAUGAUCAUCCAUAGGAUGGAGUAUUAGAGUUGGUGUAUCUUCAAAGAACAUUAAUAUAUGCAGUAGGUGUUGAAUUGAAUGAAGAGGGAGACGAUCAAUGAUGGAGUAUCUACUAGUUGCAGUUGCAUUAAGUUGCGUUUAGACAACAACAUCUCGGGCCCUCAUACAUAAACAAACUGCAAAUCUCCUGUAUGUAAUAGUAUAUGAACACUUAGAAUGCAUGUGUGGAGUCAGUGUAAAUGUAUUGCACGCCCAUGUUGUUAUCAGUCGAUCAGUAAUUGUGCAUGCUCCGACUUGUAAACCUGUCCAUUUGCUCUGCUUCUGCUUGAUCAAUUAUGUACUGCUUUACUUCGCUGCUGUUUCUUCUUUAACUUUCACUUGUUCUCUCAGCAGACCAAGUGCUCAACUUAUAUAUAUAUUAUUACUCCGUAUCACGAGUUAUAUAUAUUGGAUGACAGGAUUUUACGCUGAUUUUAAUAUUUCUGUAAAACAUAGUUCCAUAAUACAUUUUUAUACUUUUAUAAAUAAAAAUUUAAAUAUUAAAUUUUUAUUCAGAAAAAAUUAAAAAUUAAUUAUAAAUCUACAUUUUAUAAAAAUAUUGAAAUACAUGUCGAGCAGUAAAAUUUUUUUUAUAAAAUUGAAUUACACAUAACGAUAACUAUUUAAAACUGAACAUCAUCGCAUUUCAUUCACUCUGGAUAAGUAUUUAUAGCUCAUAUUUCUGACUUGAACGGUGCUACCUCCAUCUGCACUGAUUCAUAACCUAGCUACCUCUCGUACACGUGCAUCGACGCAUAUAUUUAAUUUUGAAGUUGCUCGAGUGCGAGUUGGUAUCAAAAUAACGGUUACAUACAUUUUAAGCAUCAAAUCGUUUAACUUAUUUUGAUAGUUCAUACUUCCUCCGUUCCAUAAUACUUUUAUAAGCCGAAGAAGCCUUUCGGUGCGUGCAGCUGCAGUUGCAUACAAGCACAAGUGCAGAACGAACGCACAUACGAAUGAAGACGUUACGCAUAAACGUCUGAUAUACACACAUGCAUGUUUCUUGAUAGAUCAAAUCAGAAGCCCCCUUUUAUAUAUGUUGUUCACUAUUUUACUACAGUGUUGUGCAUCUUUACAACCUGCCCUCGCCGGUUAACUUUUCAGGUAAAGGAUGGUAAAGUAAAGUAAAGAUUAGGGGAAAAUAUAUUUUAUAUUACAUUUUCUUCGUCGGUUACCUAAAGAAACAGUGCCUAAACAAAUAGUGUGUUUAGAAUUUGUUCCCAUCUACAUAAUGCACAAUAGAACUUCCCGUGAAGUGAUCGGACAAUGAAAAUCCCGGAAGAGUUAAUCAUCAUUCGUUAGGAUUCUUUCACAGCUGUGAGGUGAGGGGACAUAUCAUGUCGAAAGGCUGGACAAGAAAAUAUGACAGUGAGGAAAUAAAAUGUGAAUUUAAUAGAGAGAGCAGUAUUUAUUUGAAUUAUUGUAAUUUAUAUUAUAAUAAUAAUAAGCGUCUAGUGCUUAGGCGGUUGUCGUGUAGUCAAAUUCAAUGUUGCAUUCAUGGAGGACAACCAAUCAGAAUUCUCUUAGCAAAAUGAUGGCUCUAGCUGAUUAGCACCCUGAAAGCCAAUAAAAAAAGAUUAGAUGCCCAUCAAAGCGAGGAAAAGGAGCGAGUUGAAUGGGAUGAGACAGCUCAUGUCCCGCCCAUUAGAAUGAAAAGUCGCACCUCCAAACAAAGCCCUAAGAAGACCUGAUGAGUGAUCAGCCUAACCCCACCAUGCAUCUUAUAUAUUCGUUUCUAUCGCAUUCAAAUCAAAUUAUUUCUCCGGUCGUAAUUUCUUUUUCAAAUACAAGGGAAUUUAAGAACAACAGGUAAAAUUUAUGUACUAAAUACGUAUUAUACAGUAAUUUUUCUCUUUAAAAUAUAGUAUCUGAAUUCCCUUUCAAAUAGAAAGAAAUCAAGAAUAAUGUCACAUACAAACAUUUUAUAUGCACGUACAUUAUCCUCUUAUGUUUAUUUCAUUGGUGAAGAAUCAUAUAUGAGCAGUAAGUGGAUUAAUAUUAGAAAUAAAUGUAAUUCCUCUUUUCUCAUUAAAUUUAUUAUUUGCUCUUAGAUAUGAUUAGUCUAUAUAUGUUAUGCUAUACAUUUCGUUUCGGUUGAGUUGAGUUGAAUAUAUCACUAAUCAGGCGACCAUUACCUAUCUACUGUGUCACUGCUCCUACAUAUAUAUAUGAUCAUAUGAUGAAUAGAUUGAAUAUUACGAGGUUAAAUUUUGAAUCCUCAUAUUUGUACACACUUAUUAUGUAUGGCUUUAUAACAGGUAAAUAGUUACCAGCACUACGAAGUUGAUAACCCAGGGUUAAAAAGAAUGACAUGGACGCUUCCUACAGGUGGGCAAAACUCGAUCAGAAUUCCACAAUGAUGAUCUUACGACCAAACCCUAGUAAACUUUGCAGAAAAACCCUACCAUAUAAUUAAGCCAUAUUAUAUUCAUAGAUGAGAUAUAUAGCCAGUCCCAAACGGCUUGAUCUUCGUUAUAAAGAAAAUAUGGAUUAUGUCAGGAACUAAUUCGACACAAAAUAUAUAUAGUUAAUGUUGGCAAUGGCUAGUCAAUUAUUAGUAGGCGUGAUGAGAAUUGUGAUACAUGGAAGAAGGAUGAUCCCUUUGGGCAUUUCGACUAUCUCCCUCGUUCAAAUGUGCUGCUGCUCCGAGAUUAAGAUACACCAUCCUCGAAUCCAGAUUCGGAUUGCCACCUGUACUCCCUCCGCUGCUUUGAUGAUCUUCGCUGCUCAUCAGAGGCGGCGGAUAAAUGGCUUGCGAAGAAUUAGGUUCACUUCCGCCACCUCCUUCUCUUGAGAUCACCAGAGCGGCUGAUUGUACGAGCUCGAGACACAGCCGAAGCUUGUUAGGCUCAAUAUGUGUGAGUCCUGGAACGGCCCCUUUGAAGAGAAAAUCGGAUGUUAGGGUUCGGAGCACGUCGAGAGGAGUGAUUCCUUCGGCCAUUUGGACAUUCGGGUCUGCGUGGUGGUCUAAUAGUACCGAGACCAUGUCUGGUGAGACCAUCUCGGCCGCAAUGUGGAGGGGGGUUUUCCCGGCUGGGCCCGAGGGGAAAUUCACGUCGGCUGCGCCGAGUUCGAGCAAUGCCUUGACGACUUCUCGGCUGCAAUUCUCUACGGCAUAAUGCAGUGCCAGUGCUUCAUCCAGAUUAAGGCCUUCUCCCAUGACCAUGAGUUUGACCAAUUCCACGUCAGAGGAAUCGAGAGCUCGCCUCAUUCGUCGGAUUUUGUGAUCCUCGAAGUCAGCAGAUGUGGCGAUGUGGUGGUGGGGCACGACAGAGUGAUGAAUGAGUGAUGAUUUGAGACGAAGCUCCUCGAUUCUGGAUACGACAUCGAUGGGGAGAUGCUUGGCUAGGAUUUCGGGUGGAAGACCAGAUUUCGCAACUAAAUGAGAACAAGUAUUCCACAGCUGCUGCAUUUCGUGCUUUCUCGAGGCUAUUAAAACCUUCAUUACAUCUUCAAUCGAGGCCUUCUCCACAAUGCUUUCCAGUUGCUUCUGCAGUAACAAACAAUAACCAAUUUUACAAAAAGAAAAACAUCAUUUCAUGAAUGAUUGACCACAAGCAACGAAUCCUUGCAAAGGACUUAUACAUGAAAGUGUAUUGAAAUGUUUGCACACAUGUUCACAGAGGGAGAAAGAGAGGAAUUUUGAAGUAGGUAAAACUUACAUCUACCUUGCUUUAAUGUUUUGGCAUAACAAGUUUGGUUGUAUAUGUGAAUGUGAAACCAAAUGAGGAAAGUGGGGUUUGUUAUUUGGAAAGAAAGAAAUAAAGAAGCAAGUUUCAUGUGAUGGAUCACUGUGGAAGACAAGACCGGAGAAAUCAAGAUCUAAUAUUAGAAACAAUUGGGUCUGAAACAGUCAAAUUGAGGAACCCAAAUCAAGUUAAAAAACCCAUCACAAACUUGCAUGAUAUGAAGAUGAUAGAUGGGUUCUUGUUUGCUCUGAUUUGGCCUGUCAAACAUGCAUUUCCUUAGAAUCACAUGAUUUGAAACAUAUAAUACUUAAUCAGACCUUAACUCCCCAGCAGUACAUAGGAAAUAACUGAAACAAAACACAUAGUUGCAUCAAACAUUUCUGCAAAAGUUGUGAUUCACAUAGCUAGUGCCAGAAAAGUAAAGAAACAAGUACUGUACUGCAUCUCAGCGAGAGAUCAAAUCCAACUUUCUUUCAUUCAAACUCAAACAAAAAAGCUGCACAGCGUGCAUAUGUUGAUUAAAGAUACUAUUAAUCACUUCAAUUAUAAAAUAAUAAUCAAGAGAAGAAAUAUAAUAACCUGAGUAAGCAAAGAAAGCUGUUCGACCCCAAAAGAUCUAGCGGCCGCAAGAGUAUCAAGAGCAAGAUCAACGGCUGCAGUGCAAUGCGUAUGCCAACAACUCCUCUCCCCGCAAUUAGGCCUCGGCUCAUGCUUUUGCGGCACAACCGAGACCUGACCGCUAUACAAGAAUUGCAACAUCAACAAGAAAACCUCGUACCCUACUGAAUUCACGGGGAUGACCUGGCAAUUCGGACCGCCUCCACGCGGCGACGACGCCAAGGCACCGCCGCUAGUCCUCCCACCGUGAUCACCCGAUGUUUCGGCUUCGCAGAAGAACUUUCGAAAGAAGAGGCUCCUCGCUGCUAAGAUGCAUCGGUGCGCAUGAACCAAACGACCCUCGACACUGAAGGUGACGUCACUGAAAGCCUGACCAUUUAUUAGAAGAUUUAAACAAUCUAGUGAUAGAGAUCUCAAGCUCUCAUCCGACAUUAAAUUCUGCUUGUGAAUUUCAGAUGAAGAUUGAAAACGCUAAAUUUGUUUUCGGAGAGAUUCUCUGUAGGUGAUGCGAGAUAUUUUUUUUGUUUAAGAGAGAGAGGGGGGGCGCAAAUUGAGUGGCUGUUCGGGGCGGCUCAUCUCUAUAUAUUUUAAGGAAUCAACCAUACGCCAUAAAUAUUUUAAUUAAUGAGUUCAUUUUGAAAUUUAAAUCAUUGCAACAAAAUAAUAUAUUCAGAAAAAAAUUCAGAUAAUGCAGUGACAAGGCGGUAUGUUCAUGUGCCAACGGCAACUUAUUAUAUUAUCAAUAUUAAAGUAAUGGAAGAGAUCUAACACCAUUAUAUAUAAGACCAUACUAAUCAUUAUUUUCAUGCAAAACAUGAAUUAAAUUGACUCUAAGCAUGUUACAUGUUGUGUACUGGUUUGAUCACUGUUCUAGCUGUAUUUCAUCCCUUCACGAAAUAUAAACAAGAUAUUUGACUACUGUUAAAGUUUUUAUACUUUAGCAUAGUAUCAAUCCGAAGCGAAUCAUUGCAUGUUAUCUACAGCAGAUAAAAUAAAAUAGAAAAGAGAAGAGGUUAAAUCUUCCCGACCCCAUGGAAGGUCUCUUGUUGAAAACGUAUGAUUCUUCUGGAGUGUCAAGCUCAAAUCCUCCUACGGAAAAUUCAAUAUUUUUUGUGAUUAUUAUUCGAUCAUGAUUUAUUAAUUUAAAAAUGCUGGUUGUAACGUCAGGGACAGUGUAGCCCGUGUUAGCAUAGCUGCGCAAAAUUAAAAAUCUAGGAAACAAGAUUUAAAAUGAGUGACUCUGAAUUGCUAGAAUUUUAUAUAUUGUUGACGGACCACUCGGUAAUUAAUUUUAAAUCGAAACAUAUCGAUGAUAGCUUGAUUUUAAAUGCAAGCCAGUUUCUGAACUAUUAAAGAAUAACAAGAGUAAAUAGUGAAUUCUGAACUUCUCCUGGUUCCAUUAUUUCAUAGUUUUUUCCAACACACAACAAGUGUUGACAAUGAUAAAAACAAGAGGGAAAUCUAAUAUUUUGGAAUUAUGUUGGAUUUGUUUAAUACAAUUACUUUUAUUGUAUAUUUUGUUAAUAUUUUUAUUUUACAUAUUUAUCAAUUUGUCCAAAUUGAUUUGGAUAAAAUUAAAUCAAUAUACACUAAAAACCAGUUAUCUAAAAUAUUAAGGUGUAAGAUAAAGACAAUCUUAUAUUAUAUUUCAACACUCACUCUCACUUGAAAUUUCAAUUUUUUUGAUUGGAUAGAGGAUUACGACGCCCCUAUCUUUGGACAAUUAAUACCUCCGUGUUCAUAUUAUAUUCCUCCGCUAAACCUGAGAGAUCAAUUUUAAAUGUUAGAGAAAAUUUCAAAUUACUCUUAUAUUAUAUUUUAGUAAAAUAUGAUCGGGUUCGGGUUAUAAAUUUUUGUUAAAGUUUUGUACUCUCUCCGUCUCUAAAUACUUUUCCUGUUUGUACUUUUCACAUUUGCCAACACGCAUUUUUGAUCGUUAAUAUCUUUCAUUUCGUAGUAGUAUUAAAUAUAAAAACUUCAUUGUAUUAAAGUACUUGUGAAUACGAAUCUAACAAAAUCACUCAUGAUUAUAUUUAAUUUUAUAGAUUAGAUGUAAAUUAGUAAUUUAUCUCGUGUUAUGAACAGUACCGACAUCACAAACAAGAAAAGAAAAAAGAAACUGAGGGAGUAAUAUAUUUGAAAUGAUACAUCAAUCCAGUCCAUACACCAUUCAUAACCUCCCAGGUGUUUUUGUUUUUUUCUUUUCUAAAUGCCUCUCUUGCUUUUUAAUGUCAUUACUCGAUGAUCAAGUUAUUAUUGAUCCAAAAGAAAAGAGCAUGUAACAGUAAACAAUGAUAUGAUUAUGAAAUCAAGGCAUAAAUUAUUAUGAAGGCCGACAAAGUUGAAAUUUAGUGGUACUAAUGAGUAAUGAAAGUGGAGGUCAAACUUAUAGCCUUAUAGGGUUAGAGGUUUGUGGCUUUUCUCAACAUAUCUAUGCUUUACCUAAUGGUUAACUUGUUUGCCAUAACAAUGGAUUCUUCAUUCUUGUCGAGGCCCACUCCAUAAUAUUUGAUUAAUGCCGAGCGUUAACAAACUACUUUGUUUAAAAACAACUUAGUGUCCGGAUAAAAGACUAGAAGCACUCGUAAAAAAUAAAAAAUUAGGAUGCUAAUAUUGGUUUUAGGAAUUUUGCUUUUUCAUCAAACACAUUACUCAUUUGUAAUUCUUAUAAAUUUACUUUACAUUUCCGAUCCAUUUUUUUUUAUUUUGAGCAAAAGAUAUACUUCCUUUGUCCCUCUUAUUUCUUUACCGUUAGAUGUCCCUCUCUUUUCUUUACGUUAUUAUAAAUAGUAAGUUUUUCUCAUCAUUACACCCACUAUCUUCCCCAUACUAUCUCAUAUUUAACAAUAACACUAUCUCAAAUCUAUUAUUAAGUAAUCCAUUUUUCAUCUAACUUUACUAUUUUUUAUACAUUGUCUUGGUUUCUGUGUCCCUCUUGAAGGUAAACAAUUGAGGGGGACGGAGGGAGUAUAUUUUUUAAAUUUAUCCAUAGAAAAAGUUCUUGGUGGUUUUCAGCUUAUAAAUUUGUAUAUUUAGCAUGAAAAAGUUAGGAGUGAAGUUUUGAUUUAUAAGUUUUAUAAGCUUGAAUCUAAGAAGUCGAAUAUUUUAAUAUAUUUUUAUACAAUUUUUAAUUUUAAAAUUUGGCUUCACAAAAAUAUAUAGAUAUUUAUUAUAUCUUAUUAUUAUAUUAAUAAUUUUUAUAUUUAAUAGAUUAAAGAUAUAAAUAAAAUUUGACUAAUUAUAUAAAUUAAAUCCUAUAUUUCAUAUAUAGGUCAUUUCACAACUUAUAAAUAAUAUGUAUUACUCUUAAGUUAAACUGCUGUAAGUGUACACAUAUUUUGUUUGAAUUUAUACUCAAGAUAUAAAUUGGAAUCCUUGCAUUUAUAUGACCUAUACUGAUUAAAUUAUCAAUUUUAUUAUAAAUAUUAAUUAUAUAAUUACUACUUAACUUUAUGUAUUUUAAUUAACUCAUGUUAAUAAUUGUAUGGAACCAUCGGAAGGGAUUUUCAUCAAGAAACGCUAUUGUUUAAGCAGACUGCAUCAUCUUUCUUCUAUACAGAACGGAUUUAUUCCCUCGGAGUGUUUAAAUCAGAAAACUAAGAGCUACCCAUAUAUUUUAGUACUUUCCUAAGAUAAUUUCAUAAAUUAUUUUUUUAAUAAAAAUUCAAAAUAUUUAUACAAAAAUAAAUAUUAAAAAGAAUAUUAUGAAACUAUGAUUUUAUAUACGCUUUAAAAUACAUGCCAAAAGAUGCAAAAAUAAAUGCGAGGGACAUAGGAAAUAUUAAAUUAGCGGGAUUUAUUAAAUAAGCAUAUUUUCAAUUUAGUGAGAAAUCUACAAUUUUUUAUUAAUGAGCGAAACUCUUUUUUAACAAACAUUAGAAUCAUUAAAUAUCAAAGUAUCAAAAUUAAUUAACAUUUUGAAAUCAAACAUAUCAUUAGAAUAAAAUAACCAUACAUGUAUCCGAGAAUAAUUUUUAUAGAAAGAACCAAAUUUUAUAAUAAAAUCAAAUAUUAAUACAUAAAAGAAAUUUAUACGCAGACAAUAAUAAUUUAAGUAAGUAUAUUGAAAAGAUAAUCAUGUAUGUAAAUAAAAAGAUUUCUAAUAAAUAAUAUAUUAAAAAAUACAUUUGAACCUAGUACUGUUAUUUAAUACUGAUGUUUAUAUAAGAUGGAUUUUGUAAGAGAAAUUUGUUCAUGAUGCAAGAGAGGUCAUUUUCAUCUAUAUAUAAUAAUGGUUCGUAAAAUAUAGAUACUUUAAAUUUCCUAUGGAAAAUGAUAAAGGGCUGAAGGUAAAAAGCAUCAUGGGGGUAAAGAUUAAAGAAAGGUGCUGUCAAUUUGUUUGCUCCUUUCGGUUGAAAAAGAUUAACAAAUCUCAGGGAUUGACUAAAAUUCCUGUUUCAUGAUUUGACUUCUCAGUUGUCCUUUCUAUAAACAAAACUCUGCUCCUUUUCCUUAUCAACGCCUUACAUAAUUAUGUGAACGAUUUUAGUAGAGAAACUGUAAUUCGAAUGAUUUGUCGCACCCACUAAUAUGAUAACUGUAUGCUUCUAGGUUGGAACAAAGGCUCUCUUUGAUUAAAUCUAAUAAUAUAGUAAUAAUUCAUUAUAUAAUUUCACAAAAAAGUGAAUUAUUGGGUGUUUGGUUCAUGAUUAAUGAGUUCGGUUAACGAGGAUCGGAACCUUAAUCUCAUAAUAAGUGUUUGGAUUAGUUAUUUGGUGCUAUAAGAUGGAACUCCAAUCCUUUUAGGUGGUUAAAUCAUACACUUCCCAGCCUUUGACUUACCAUACUAUUCUCAUUCCCGUUAACCUCCGUUCCCAUACCCUCCGUUCUCAUUCCCGAUUGCCAUUCCUAACUUUAAUCCAAAUGCCCCCUAUAUACUUUUUCUUGGAUUAUAAUAAAGUUGAUUUUAAUAAAGUUAAUUUAUUUAUUUCUUUGAAAGUGGAAAAUGCAUUCAAAUAAUAAGAUCAAAAAGAUAACCUCCAACAAACACGUUGGAAGCCGGAAGGGUCGUGAAUAAAGGAUUUUAACAACUUCAUGAAUUACCAUUACCUUGUUAGCAUUUCUCCCUACCGAAGAAACAUACAAUCAAUUAUCAUGUCACCGACUUCUAAAUAAUUAUGGCCUUCUGAUGGCCUCAACAGAAAGUAUAGAAUAUAAGUUUGGGUUACCAAUACGUUUUUCUUAAUGAAUUAUCAAAUUUUCCAGUGUGUUUAGAAGCAUAUAUUAAUCACUUUUUAAAUGGAUGAUGAAUUUAUAUGGACUGCCUUUUUAUUAAUAAUAUUGACCCUUCUACAUAUAUAAAAGAUUUUAUCAAUAAAUUUUAUCAUCUAAAAAAAAUAAUUUUUAGUCUGAGCUCAUAAAUAUACAGCAGAACUAUCCAUGAAUUAUUUAUCUGUGCACCUCAAUCGUAUGCGUCAAAAAAAGAGAAAUUGGUACCGACAUUAACUGUUGUCCUCGGUGUGUAUAAAAGAUACAGCCUUUGAUAAUUGUUGUCAUAGAGACAAAAUUAACAAAGUUCUGAUUGUGUUUAAACUGGGGUUUCUGGUUCGCAUCAGUGUCCUGAUCAAUUAAUAAUUUAUUCAAAAGUUGUACGUAGUAGUCUUAACCUGAAAAGUAACUUCCUUGCAAGCUCACAUCCGGGACACUUUUAAUUUUUUGAUGAAAUAUAGGGAUCAUUUGACUUAAUUUUCAGAAAAAAUAUUCGUUACUUAAUAUAGAAAGAUGAAUAAUUAAUUUUAAGUAAAUUUGACUUAUAAAUUAUUAAGUGUGAUUGAAUAGAUUUACUCAUAAGCCAAAAGAAUUUUUGGUAAUUUAAAUUUACCAAUUAAAAAAAUUAAAUUAUCACAAAAUGAAAUCUUAUUAAUAAAUUUUAUUUUAUAUAAAAAAUAAAGGGUCGUAGAGAACACAUUAAAAAUUUAAAAAUUCUAUAAUAAAAUGCAAAUCACUAUAAAAACUCGAAGAAAAUAUUUGACUUCGAGCUUUUACUUUCAAAAAUCCAAAAUAAGCACUUCUAUUUUUUCGUCAACCAACCAUCAAGAAACAAAAGCGUCUUUCCUAUAAAAAAACGGAAACUCCAUUGUCGAACAUAGUUGAUAGUGAACUGGUGAUUCCAUCAUUUUCUUAUGUAAAAUAAUAAUUCACCAAGUAAGAUUAUAUUAUAAUUACAAAAAAUAAUCAAGAUUUUAAAAAAAAUAUACUAAUACGAAACCGCAAUCCGUGAAUAUUUUCUAAUUUGUAGUCUCACUGUGAUACGUAUUGUAUUUUUAGCUAAAGUCUUCUUCAUUCGAAAUGGUCUAAAAUAUAUUUCUUAUGAUUCGAUCAUUUGUAUAUGCUUAGGAUGGAGGGUUCACACUCAAUUUGAACUCUCUCUCUCUAAACAACUUUUUCGAAUGCAAGCUAUAUAUCAUAAUUAUUGUUACUUCAGUAUAUAUGAUAUAAUAUUGACAUAGAAUUGAUAUAAUAUUCCUAGCCACAUUUCACGGUAGAGUCAAUUAUAGAACGAGUUUUAUGUAAGGUAUUAUUUUGGUAGGUGAAUUUUAAUAUUCCCUCCAUCCCAUUUUAAUUGUCCUGUUUGACUUUUGAAUGGUCAAAUUGACCAAAUUUUGACUGAGAUUUACACAUAUAAUAUAAUUUUUAAAGGUAAAAAAAAUUAUAUCAUUACAAAGUACAUACAAAAUACUAUAAAAUACAAUUUUUAGUUUUUUAAAAUAAUAAUGAAUUUGUUCUUUAUGCUUGGUCAAAAAUUGAUCAAUUUAACCAUUGAAAGUCAAAAUAGGACACUUGAAAUGGGAUGGAGGGAGUAUAUAUAAUUCAUGAUCAGCGGGUAAUAGAAGUGCAUGAUCACAAGGUAGUUAGUUUUUUAAAACCGUGACAUACAUAAAAAUAAAUUCUGGCCAGCCUGCCGAAUUCAAAUCUGACCAUUUAAAGCAAGUCCAAUAGGUUACCUAUCUUAUUACUUACUAAUAAUAUAAAAUAAUGAAUCCUAGCGAGUCUUAGUGAUUUAGGUAAUUUAGUUUUAGUGUCAACUCCAAUAGCAAUCCAUAUAUUUGUUCUCUUAAGAUUAUUUUAAUAAUAAAUUUAAGAGAGAGAAUGAGAAAAGGAGGGAAAAGACAAAAAAAGAAGGAGAGAGAUGAUUAUUUUAUUCAUGAAUAUUAAAUAAGUAAUGGUUAUGGGCUACUUAUAAAUAGGUAAUGGCUAAGAGAUUUGAGGUUGUGCUAGUGAUUUAGAUAACCAUUAGGAUAGUGUUGGAGUGCAUUUUUUUGACACAUUAUCUAAAUGUGAGUUUAGCACAUCAUAUAAGUAACAUGUUGGACUUUCUUAGGCUACAUUGCCAAUUUUAUGAUUUUAUUUUUCGAUAAUAAAUGUUUUCACUUAAUUUCUAGUCCCCUGUGACAAACUUGUUUCCAAUUUCCUGGGUAUAACCCCCGGAUAUAUAGAGUUGCAGCACCCUCUUUGGAUCAGCAGUGAUUUUUGAUUAUACUACUCUGCACUAUUAUGUGUACGAGAUUUAACUAUUUAAGGUUCAAAAUCCAACACAGUAUUUCUCCCUCCGUCUCUUUCACUCUACUGCCUAGAGCCAGAGCUCACUGAUUCAACCACAUUUAUGAAAAAAACUCGAGUCUUCAAAUCAAAUGCAGAACGUUGUCGUUGAAAGACUGUCUCCAACACUUAUGAACCUGAUCCUUUCUACUCCGCCUUUAUUAAGUACUAGUCGUAGUAGGAGUUCACAACAGUUAAUUAACAACUUUCAAACCAACAAUUAACCGCCAAUCAUUUGGUUAAACAUCAUGCGCAACUCUCUUAUGUAAAAAAUACUUUCCCAUUUCAAUUUAAAUGUUCAUUUUUAAUUUAAAAAAAUUGUUUCAAUUUAGUUGCCCACUUAAACUUUUAAAUUUAAAGUUAUAUUUUCAAAGUUAAUUUUACUUCACAUAUCUUUUAUAUAUUUCCUAGAUUAGCAUCAUUCGUGUUAAAGCUAAUUAAGCUAGGUUAUGCAUGUAAAAUGACUCAACAGAAAUAAGAAGUUUGGUCCAAGAAAGGUUAGAAAAGGCAAACGGGAAUAUAGGAAUUAAGCGACUGUUACGUAGAUGCAUUUGGCAGAUGACAAACACACACAACUGCAGAUGGACAUAGUAAAUCUAAUGCGGUGAUCGACUGGGGUGGAUCCGGGGACAAGCAUGAGCUUGUCUUGUCAUAUCAACCCCGGUCCCACCCUCUCUUCGAAUUACACUUCUCCUGUGUGACUGACCAGAUACACACGUGACACCAAUACUCUGUUUACAGUGUCGAAGGGACUUCUAAGUCUAACGUCAACCAUGCCAAAUGAAUUCGGAGUAAAAGAGAUCAAAGGGACGUUUGUAAAGUUGAUAGAAAAGUGGAAAAGCGAAAACCGCAAGAGUUUGCAAUAUUAUGAGGUACGCGAGGAUGAAUUUUAAUUUUAAUCCAGUAAAUCAGUAAUAAAAUAUUAAUAUUGUGAUUCUUAGGGUGUUCAUAGGAAUAACAAAUUUCUGAAUUUUAUCAUAGCAGAAAUAUAUAAAUUUUGAGGUGUGACUGCAAUUUUAUAGCCCAAGAAUAGCUUUGUGUAUCUUUUUGGGCUCGGAUCUAAUACUGCAGAAGAUUAAAAGGAGAGUUGAGCUGGAUUAGUAUCAUAUGAUCACAGUCCAAGGAGAACUUGUUGGGCUGACCCUGAUUGUUCUUGUAUUAAUUACCACACUCACCACUUCUAUAAUUUUAUUUCUGCUCAGAUACAGAAGACAACUAUAUUCACCAAGAUAAAACACUGAAUAUACAUGCAAAAAACUAUUUUGACUUCUCAAUCGUGCAAGUCAUUAUAAAUUGUUGGAUACUUGGCGAAGCAACGUACGGUAAUUGGACAAUAUAUCUGGGGGUGUAGAAUUACAAGCCAAUGUUGAUUGUGUAGGGCUCGGGCUCAAUCUCAUCGCUGCCACCAGUAAAGAACUAAAAAUCAUUUCUGAUUUGAAGCAUGCAACCGUGUAUGGACCAGCACGAAUAUGGGCCGAUCUAAAUGGUUCAGCCUUAGUUGCCGUUCCCCCACGCUUCAUUCUCUGGCCACCAAACAUCUGACUUAAGAUUGCACGACUUUAAAUACGUGGUUUCUCUUUCACGCUAAAAAUCGAGAAUUAGAACCGAAUGAUUAAUCUACCGAUUCAGGUAUAUUAUAAAUUUUUUCGUUAAAUCAGGAUAUUUAAUCAAAUCAAAAUAUCCCUUAAAUCAUAAAUCCUGAAUCCUAUUUCAAUGGUUUUUUACACUCCCUACCCCAAUUCUUCAUACUUAUUUACAAAAAAUGCCAUCCAAAUUUCUACUAUUGUUUAAGCUUUCCACCACACAACUUUCGAACACAUGCUAACUUUCCAUUUGUGAUGUUUCAUGUCAUUAAAAAACAAAAAAUCUUCGCUCGCUUUAUUGACUUUCCCUAAAGCAGAGUAUGUCAUUCUCUUGAUUCACGCGUGUUGCUUUCCUUUUCAAGCAAAAACACUGCAUCGAUAGAACUGGUAUGUCCAAUGCAGCUGCUUUACUUCCUCUUCUGCUUCGUCUUGAUUCCAAUUUCAAAUUCAAAAUUCAAAUUCAUAUCAUGUAAUCGGAUUCAAACUCUUCAAUCUCUUUCAUGUCAAAACUCUCCAACCUCGCACCUCCGUCUGCUCCAUGUAAUUCCCUCCCCCCUCUCUCCCUUCGCGAAUCUCUGUCUUUCUUCCUGAAUCUCUCUCUCUCUCUGAACCUGAUCCUUUCUACUCCGCCUUUAUUAAGUACUAGUCGUAGUAGGAGUUCACAACAGUUAAUUAACAACUUUCAAACCAACAAUUAACCGCCAAUCAUUUGGUUAAACAUCAUGCGCAACUCUCUUAUGUAAAAAAUACUUUCCCAUUUCAAUUUAAAUGUUCAUUUUUAAUUUAAAAAAAUUGUUUCAAUUUAGUUGCCCACUUAAACUUUUAAAUUUAAAGUUAUAUUUUCAAAGUUAAUUUUACUUCACAUAUCUUUUAUAUAUUUCCUAGAUUAGCAUCAUUCGUGUUAAAGCUAAUUAAGCUAGGUUAUGCAUGUAAAAUGACUCAACAGAAAUAAGAAGUUUGGUCCAAGAAAGGUUAGAAAAGGCAAACGGGAAUAUAGGAAUUAAGCGACUGUUACGUAGAUGCAUUUGGCAGAUGACAAACACACACAACUGCAGAUGGACAUAGUAAAUCUAAUGCGGUGAUCGACUGGGGUGGAUCCGGGGACAAGCAUGAGCUUGUCUUGUCAUAUCAACCCCGGUCCCACCCUCUCUUCGAAUUACACUUCUCCUGUGUGACUGACCAGAUACACACGUGACACCAAUACUCUGUUUACAGUGUCGAAGGGACUUCUAAGUCUAACGUCAACCAUGCCAAAUGAAUUCGGAGUAAAAGAGAUCAAAGGGACGUUUGUAAAGUUGAUAGAAAAGUGGAAAAGCGAAAACCGCAAGAGUUUGCAAUAUUAUGAGGUACGCGAGGAUGAAUUUUAAUUUUAAUCCAGUAAAUCAGUAAUAAAAUAUUAAUAUUGUGAUUCUUAGGGUGUUCAUAGGAAUAACAAAUUUCUGAAUUUUAUCAUAGCAGAAAUAUAUAAAUUUUGAGGUGUGACUGCAAUUUUAUAGCCCAAGAAUAGCUUUGUGUAUCUUUUUGGGCUCGGAUCUAAUACUGCAGAAGAUUAAAAGGAGAGUUGAGCUGGAUUAGUAUCAUAUGAUCACAGUCCAAGGAGAACUUGUUGGGCUGACCCUGAUUGUUCUUGUAUUAAUUACCACACUCACCACUUCUAUAAUUUUAUUUCUGCUCAGAUACAGAAGACAACUAUAUUCACCAAGAUAAAACACUGAAUAUACAUGCAAAAAACUAUUUUGACUUCUCAAUCGUGCAAGUCAUUAUAAAUUGUUGGAUACUUGGCGAAGCAACGUACGGUAAUUGGACAAUAUAUCUGGGGGUGUAGAAUUACAAGCCAAUGUUGAUUGUGUAGGGCUCGGGCUCAAUCUCAUCGCUGCCACCAGUAAAGAACUAAAAAUCAUUUCUGAUUUGAAGCAUGCAACCGUGUAUGGACCAGCACGAAUAUGGGCCGAUCUAAAUGGUUCAGCCUUAGUUGCCGUUCCCCCACGCUUCAUUCUCUGGCCACCAAACAUCUGACUUAAGAUUGCACGACUUUAAAUACGUGGUUUCUCUUUCACGCUAAAAAUCGAGAAUUAGAACCGAAUGAUUAAUCUACCGAUUCAGGUAUAUUAUAAAUUUUUUCGUUAAAUCAGGAUAUUUAAUCAAAUCAAAAUAUCCCUUAAAUCAUAAAUCCUGAAUCCUAUUUCAAUGGUUUUUUACACUCCCUACCCCAAUUCUUCAUACUUAUUUACAAAAAAUGCCAUCCAAAUUUCUACUAUUGUUUAAGCUUUCCACCACACAACUUUCGAACACAUGCUAACUUUCCAUUUGUGAUGUUUCAUGUCAUUAAAAAACAAAAAAUCUUCGCUCGCUUUAUUGACUUUCCCUAAAGCAGAGUAUGUCAUUCUCUUGAUUCACGCGUGUUGCUUUCCUUUUCAAGCAAAAACACUGCAUCGAUAGAACUGGUAUGUCCAAUGCAGCUGCUUUACUUCCUCUUCUGCUUCGUCUUGAUUCCAAUUUCAAAUUCAAAAUUCAAAUUCAUAUCAUGUAAUCGGAUUCAAACUCUUCAAUCUCUUUCAUGUCAAAACUCUCCAACCUCGCACCUCCGUCUGCUCCAUGUAAUUCCCUCCCCCCUCUCUCCCUUCGCGAAUCUCUGUCUUUCUUCCUGAAUCUCUCUCUCUCUCUCCUCUAUCUCCCUCUCUCCGGCUGUGUCCCAUAUCUCUCUCUGUUUCUUCAUAUCUGGGUCACUCUCUCUCUCUCUCUCUAUUUCACUGGCCCUCUUUUUUAGUAUAUAUAGUAAUAUUUUAGUUUUACAUUUUAUAUAGUUCAGUGAAAAACGCAUAUUCUGAAUUGAAUUGUGGAUUGAUACUUAAAUCUGAUAAAUUGUUCUUCCCUACAUUGUGCGAGUAUUCUUGAUUCUAUAUCUUUACUAAUGCUUGGAUUAUUGUUAUAUAAUUGUCUGAUUAAUAGUUUUCAUUUUGAUUUUGCAUCUCUACUGUUUGAUAUAAGUUCUCACAGAACUUUCUGUUACUUUUGAAUUAAGUAUUGUUUGAUAAAAGCUCUAAGAAAGUUUGUAAUCACUUUUGAAUUGCAUUUACAGCAGCAGAGGCUAAUGAAUUUUGAAGGAAUGAUGAAAGUUGUGGACUAGAGCAGGAGAGGUACAAGAUAAGUGAAUUUGGAGAAUUUUGUUGUAUGUUCAAGGGUACUCUCUAAUUGUUACUGUUCAUGUAUAUUUGCAAGUGUACAUAAAUGUUUUUAUGUUGAAAUGUGGCAGGGGUUGGGCUGUACUAGAAUNGGUACAAGAUAAGUGAAUUUGGAGAAUUUUGUUGUAUGUUCAAGGGUACUCUCUAAUUGUUACUGUUCAUGUAUAUUUGCAAGUGUACAUAAAUGUUUUUAUGUUGAAAUGUGGCAGGGGUUGGGCUGUAAAUAGAAGGGACCUUACUAACACAGUCAACUCGAGCUUUCCCUAAAAUUUCGAAGCUUCCAAAGAUGCCACUGAAGCAUAAGUGUCUAAAACGAUGGUUUGGAAGUGAUGGGGUUUUCUUUUACUGAUUUAGGUUAUCCUUUUUCUCAAUUGCAUUCUGAUUUUACUGUUACUUAAUGCAUAUAAUAUAAUUAUUAUUAUUUUAACUACGAUUGACAUAUACAGUAGUCAUUCUAUGUAAGUGAUUUUACUGUUACUUAACGCAUAUACUUAAUUUUUAACUUCUUUGUAUCUGUUUCUACAUUCUCUUACAUAGUCUUCGUCUACUGUGUAGGUAUCUACUCUCAUCACAAUGGGCGUUUCUCUUGAGGAUUCAUUUAGAAGUGAUGAUAUAAAUGCUCCAUACCUGGGCACAGAGCUGCCUAGCUUGCCGAGUGUAUGCAUGUCAACUACGUAUUAUUUCUACCUUACCUUAGUUUUUAUACACUGUUACUUGCACAAAGUGUUGAGUUUAAUUUCUUAUUUGAGUUUAAUAACUUAUUUGCCUGUUGGAAUGAAUUUUAUACACACCGAGUAUAUUGAAAUUAAACAGUAAUACAACACUCCCACACACCGAGGAAUAAGUACUUCUGAGGUGUAUAACUUCUGGCUCGAGUUCUUCACAUCUGUGAGGAAUCACCAACUAUUUUAUGUGUGCGUGUCAAAAAAUACUACUUAAAUUAAUUAGUCUAAACAUAUAACUUUUACUAUUUCGUAUUCAUACAACAUCAUGUUGGAUGCGUCUCAAUAACCUUUCUUCUGUAUCAUUUCCACAAGUGUAUAUGUCUCGAGGAAAAAGCCACUUUCAAAAUAGACGAAGGACUACAAUCUUUCAGUUUGUCACAAAAGAGCCACUACUGACCAACAUGGGCAUUUCUUUUACGGAGGUUGCUGUUGGGGCUGGCUAUGCUAUUACUUAAAUGGAGUUCCAAUUGGAGUUUUGCUUGGCUAUUCUAACCAGUUGCAAUUUAAAGGGAGUGUCUUCAUCUCCCUCUGAGUUAUAUUGACUUGAUUGAAUGUGUAGUUUUCUUUAAAAAAUUUGUACAAAUUACAAAUAUUUUAAGUUUAGUAGAGCAUUUGUAUUAUCUGGACUGAUGCUAAUGUAAUAGUAUUUUGUUUAGAUAUGAGGAUGAGCUAAUGGAGCCGGAGCUUGAUAUGAGGAAUUUCUUUUCAACUGUCUGAAUUUAUUGAUGCUUUUUGUGAUAUUUGUGUGUGUAUUGAAAUUAUGAGUGAUUAAUAUGUAGGAAGGAGCAGAGGUGGAUGUUGAUGCAGAUGCAAAUAGGGAAGAUGAUUUGGCUGAUCCUCUGUUGGCUGACGGUGAAGAGAAACAGGAAGAGAAACCAGCAGAACGGCCUCGGAAAACAUUAAAAAAUAUGACAAGGUAUGAACGUGCAAGAAUCCUAGGGACACGGGCCCUGCAGAUAAGGAAGGUUCUUAUCUUAUUGAAAUAUUUGUUUAAGUAUUAUUUUGGGUUCAACUUGAUAUUUCUGAAUAAAAUUUACCCUGGCUUUACUAAAUCAGCAUGAAUGCUCCUGUGAUUGUUGAGUUGGAGGGUGAAACUGAUCCAAUUGAGGUAAAUAAUACCUUCAAAUCUUUUUUCUUUUCACUCUUAAGAGAACUCCACCCUGAACUAGGCUCAAACAACCCACAUCGUCACCUUUUUUUGGUGUAAUAGUGUUUCUUUAUGUUCUGAAAUUAGUUGUUUGUGAUCUUAUCCUUUAUCCGAAAAGAGGCCAGGUGUUCUCUUGAAGUAACUGCUACUCCCUCUGUCCCAUUUUAACUGAUGUUUGACUUUUUAACACGUAUAUUUAGGUGUAAAAAUGACAUACCUACACUUAAUAAAAAUAUUCAAUUCUUAUAUCAAAUAAAAAUUUAGAUUCUAAACUUUUAUUUGAUAUAAAUUUUAUAAAAAAUAGUUAUGUUUAGAUGUGAUUUUUUUAACAUCUUAAAAUACGUGUAAAAAAGUCAAAAGCAGUUAAAAUGGGACGGAGGGAGUAUAUGAAACAUUAAAAUCAAUUCAUCUUUUUGAGAUUACUUGCAUAAUUAAUGGCAUGAUCUCCAAUUAUCUUGCUUAUCUGACAAGCAAUGAACAUUGACGACUUGCUGCUUCCAAAUUUGCUGAGUUCUUUUUGCAAAUAAAGAAAUUUAGAAAAAGUGAAAUUCUAAAUUUCAGAAGGGUGGUGUUGGAAAUUAUUUAUGGCAAGAGAUCAAAGGGUACAAGUGAAUAGGAGUGUAGUUCUGGACUUGAUUUUCAAAUUAUAUGUCAAGGCUUACGGGGAAAGGCACUAAGAUCUUCCCCCCAUUAACAAACCCCAUAGGAAAUUAGGAACUCAUUUUUUCUCUAGGCUAUGACUAUUAUGGUGAUAUGUGGAUGUGCAUGUGUGAUGUCUGGCUAUUCAAUGUCUAGGCUCUGUCUCCUAAGAUUCAUAUUUUGGAUGUGCAUGUGUGAUGUCUGGCUAUUCAAUGUCUAGGCUCUGUCUCCCAGUAAGAUUCAUAUUUUGCUAUUGACGUUUAAUUUGUAAGAUUCAUAUUUUGCUACUGACGUUUAAUUUGUAGAAAUUUAAUGUGAUACUGAUUUCUUGCUUUUGACUAAUGUAUUGGCAAAGAAGUUUAAUGAAUUUAGCUGCAGCUUCUACUGAGGUCCCCCAGAGGACAUCUCACAGAAAAGUGUAAAAAUGGAUAACAAGUGAAUAUUUGUUAUGUCUAUCACCAGAGUGAACCUUAUUUUUCAAAUACAUUUUUGAUUGAGAUGUAAAUAAAAUGUAAUAAAAAGGAUAGUAAGUCUAAAAUUUAAAAUGAAGUGAUAAAAUUUUUGCACACUUUGACGUUCAUUAGUUAAUAAUUGAUAAUUGAUAGAUCGAAAAAGGAUGAUGAAUUAUAUUAUCAAAACUUAUUUUCAUAAAAAAUUUAAACAUUAAGAAUCUAGACUCUCAAAAAGAAAAAGUAUAGUAAAUAUUUCUCAUAAAUACAACCUCAUCUUCUAAAAAUAUUUUUUAUUGAGAUGUAAAUAAAUUGUAAUAAAAUGAAAAAUACGUUUAUAAUUUAAAAUAUAACAAUGAAAUCAUAUAUCACAUUUUUUCUUUUCUUUUUUUGAAACAUUUUUUUUCACUUUUUAAUUCAAAUUUAAAGUGAAAUUAAAUGAAACAUAAUAUAUACUUAAAAGUUAUGUAAGUUUAAUAAGUGAAUAUUCAAUUAUGGAGUGUGAAAAAAGAAAAAUUCAUUAUGAGGUUCAUGAUUAAUAAUUAGUAAAUCGAAAAAGUUGACAAAAAUAAUGUAAGAUUUUCUUUUAUAUUAUAUUAAAGAAAUCAAAAAAUUUAAGUCAUAUACAAUUCAGAGUAACCAUUCACAAAAAAAAUGCAAAAAUUGAAAAACAACACAAUAGCGAUUUCUUUAUCAAAUUAACAAAGUGGACAUUUCUUAUAAUUCUCAUAAAAUGGAACGUUGUUUUCAAAAAUAUUUUUGUUCGAGAUGUAAAUAAAGCGUAACAAAAUGUAUAGUAUGGUUAAAAUUAUAAUAAUAAAAGUGUAUAUCACAUUUGUUUUUGAAUUUUUUUAAUUCAAAUUCAAAGUGAGAUUGAAAAAAAUUAUUUGUAUCAAAAAAUUAUAAAAAGUAUAGCAUUUAAAUAUCUAUCUUGAGUUUAAAUAUUUGAAACCUAAGAAUGAAGUAGACAGGUGUUGUUGUUUAUAAUUAAUAAAUGAUUGUUUGAGAAAAUGUGACAAAAAUAAUUUAAAAUUUAUUUUUAUACUAUAAAAUUUUUUAUAGACAUUUUUUAAUCUUUGCUAUGAAAAUCAAAGAAAGGACGAUGAUACAAAUAUUUUUUUUUAAAAGAAAGUGAAAUUAAGUUAUACUUAUAAAUUAUAGUAAAUAGGUAUGUUACCUCUUAAUAUAUUUGAGAUAAAUUUUAAUUAGUAUAUUAUUUAGACAAUAUAUUAAGUGAUUUUAUUUGUCAUUAUAGUAUUAUAAUAAAUUUUUAAAUAUUAAUUCUUGUGAAUACUCCCAAAGCAAAUCGUAUAAUAUUUCAUACAUUUUUAUUAUAAUAUAAUAGUGAAUAUUAAUAUCAAAAGUCAUCUACACAACGUAUAAUUAUUCAAAAGUGAUUAAUAAACUAUCUCUAUAUAAACAUAGGUAUAAAAAUAUAACAAUUUUUUCAAAUUAAUAUACUCAUUAUUACUUUGUUAGAUUUAUCAUAAUUUUUUUAAAUUUAUGAACUCAUUUGUUACAAAGAUUUAUUUUUAUGCCCAUGCGUAGCGGGCAAAAAUUACUAGUAAUUGAUAAAUUGAGAAAAUAUUUUUUCAAAGAUAUUUAUUGAUUUUUUUUUAACAAAUCAAAGAUCUUUAGAACACUGCUUGAGAUACGCUAUAAAUAGCAACACCAACAUCUCUUUAAUUUUCACGAAUAAGAAAACAUAUGAUAUCAAUGAAUGGAUGUAUUCCUUCUCUGCUUCCACUCGUUCUUUUAAUACUCUUCCUCUCGCAGCUCUCAAAGGCUACUAGUGUAGAUUUUGUUCAGUGCCUUGAACGUUAUGCAAAUAACUCGACUUCUAUUUCUCAGGUUACUUACACUCCUGACAACUCCUCCUAUACUGCCGUUCUGCAGUUCUCUAUUCGCAAUCUUCGACAUGCAUCGCUGCCUGAUUCUCAAAAGCCUGUAGUCAUUGUUACACCAGUCGAUGAAACACAAAUUCAAAUGGUCGUUAAUUGCUCACGAAGACAUGGAUUGCAAAUUAGAACCCGAAGCGGUGGUCAUGAUUUCGAAGGUCUUUCUUAUAGAACCACAAGUAAUAUUUCGUUUGUUUUACUUGAUAUGAUUAAUAUUCGGUCCGUGAAUGUUGACCUCGCAAAUGCAACUGCAUGGGUUGAAUCUGGUGCAACUAUUGGCGAACUUUACUAUGCCAUCUCACAAACAAGUGCAACACAUGCAUUUCCUGCUGGCGUUUGGUGUAAUGUUGGCGUUGGUGGACUAAUUAGCGGGGGAGGAUAUGGAAUGUUACGACGAAAGUAUGGUCUUGCUGCGGACAAUGUCAUUGAUGCUCGUAUGGUUGAUGUCAAUGGAAGAAUUCUUAACCGAACAUCGAUGGGAGAAGAUCUUUUUUGGGCAAUAAGAGGAGGAGGCGGUUCGAGUUUUGGAGUCAUUAUUUCAUGGAAGAUAAAACUAGUACAAGUUCCUGCCAUAGUAACCGUUUUCACAGUUGACAAAACACUCGAGCAGAAUGCCACUGGAAUUCUUCAUAAGUGGCAAUCUGUUGCUCCCAGUGUUGAUAAAGAACUCGACAUUAGAAUUCAGGGGACUUGUGUACUAAGCAAUACAAGUAAACGAGAAGAUAAAAAGACGAUACGAUUGACAUUCAUGUCCUUGUUCCUUGGUAGAAUUGACACACUGCUUCCAUUAAUGCAAAUAAGCUUCCCCGAGUUGGGAUUGACUAGAGAAAAUUGUUUGGAAAUGAGCUGGAUCCAGUCAGUGCUAUUUUUCACUAGCUUGCCACCAGGAGCUUCUCCUAGUGUCUUGACCAACAGAACCCUUUUACCAAAGUUUGCUACCAAAGCAAAAUCAAGCUAUUUGAAAGGAAUAUGGGAACUGAUGUUAUCGCGUGAUCCGGGAACAACUAUUGUUAUGUUGACACCAUAUGGAGGAAGAAUGAGUGAGAUAUCAGAGUCACAAAUUCCAUUUCCGCAUAGAGCUGGAAACUUGUAUAUGAUUUAUAUCGGAGUAUUUUGGGCCGGAGAUACUCAACAGGCACUGAACUGGAUUAGAAACUUGUAUAAUUAUUUGAAUCCGUAUGUGUUAAACUCCCCAAGGAGCUCAUAUGUGAAUUACAAUGAUCUGGAUUUAGGCAUUAAUAACCUCCAGGGUCCAACAAGUUACCAGCAAGCAAGCAUAUGGGGUAAAAAGUAUUUUAAAGAUAACUUUGACAGGCUGGUUCGUGUGAAGUUUAGUGCUGAUCCUACUAACUUUUUCAGGCACGAACAGAGCAUUCCUCCUAUUCCAUUGUAACUCUUUACUUAUACCAAAUCCAUAGAAUAUGUUCUCUAUUAUAUAAUGAUAAAUUGACAAUAAUAUUGUCAUUAAAAUAAAUUAUGGUGAUUAUAUAUAUUUCUUUCUCGAGCCCUUUUUUUAAAGAAUUAAUUUAAAAGCUCUAUAAAAACUUAGCAUGGCCUGAUCUAUAUAGUCAGCUCUACAAGGUUGAUAGUAGAGCUGAACAAAAGGACCGGCCCACUAGGCCCGGGACCGGUCCUUCAAAAUCCCGGACUUUUUUUCAAAAGCCCGGACCGGGCUUUUCAAAAAUCGGGCCGGGCCGGGCCAGAUUUCUUAUGAAAAAAUGAGGCCUACUUCGGCCUACCAGGCCGGGCCAGAUUUAACCGGGCUUUUAUCCGGGCUUUUUUUAGUUAUGAUUUUAAAUAAUUAUAUGACCUUUUUUUAUUGAGUUUUUCCAUAUCAUUCUAUUUAACUGAAAUUUGAGUUGUAUAAAUGAAUUGACGUGAUAUAUAUGUAUACAUAUCUUGAAUUGAUUGAAAUUAAUUUAAAUUUUGUAUAUAAAUUUGUGUCAGUACGUGUAGCAUUAAUUAAUCUAGUUGAUGUGGGGAUAUGUUUAAUAUUUAUACAUGGACUUGGAUGUGUAAAAAACUCCGAUUUAUAGGUUAAUCGGGCUUUUCAUCCGGGCUUUUCGGGCUUUUAUCCAGGUUUUAGACCGGUCUUUUAUCAGGCUCGGUCUUUAUCCAGGCCAGAUUUUUUGCCGGGCCGGGCCGGGCCAGAUUUUUGACAAAAAAUCAAGGACUUGUAAGGACUUGCACGCCAGAUAAAGACCGAGCCGGGCUUUUAGUAGACGGGCUUUAUCCGGUCUUUUUACCGGGCCAGACCAGACGGUCUUUUUAGGUCCGGUUUUUUUGUUCAGCUCUAGUUGAUAGCCGUCCGCCCACGCCAUCUUGAUCAGUUGUUCUUACUUUCUUUAGCCACCAAAAUAGUUGACUUUAGAUUUUUUGACUUGAAAAUCAUAUCUUUGCGAGAGUACAUUAGAUAUUGUUGUUGCUUGAAGAUCAAUAUAUAUCACUAGUUCAUCGUAUCUUCUUUUCCCAAAUUCAUAAAUUAAAAUAUGAUAUCAAUGAAUGUUUCUAUGCCUUCCUUGCUUCCGCUUGUUCUUUUUCUUUUGCUUUCGCAGCUCUCAAAGGCAACUAAUGAAGAUUUUAUCCAGUGCCUAGAGCGUCGCUCACAGAACUCUACCUCUGUUUCGCAAGUUAUUUACACCCCCGACAACUCGUCUUAUGCUUCUGUUUUGCAGUUCUCGAUUCGCAAUCUUCGAUUUGCAUCGCUCCCUGAUUCUCAAAAGCCUCUAGUCAUUGUUACACCAAUAGAUGAAUCGCAAAUCCAAACAGUCAUUUUAUGCUCUCGAAGACAUGACUUGCGAAUCAGAACCCGAAGUGGCGGUCAUGAUUUCGAAGGUCUGUCAUAUAGAACCACGAAUAAUAUUUCAUUUGUGUUACUUGAUAUGAUCAAUCUUCGGUCUAUUAAUGUUGACAUCGCCUCCGAAACUGCAUGGGUUGAAUCUGGUGCAACUGUUGGCGAACUUUAUUAUGCAAUCUCACAAAAAAGUUCAACGCAUGGAUUUCCAGCUGGGCUAUGGGGAAGCGUUGGAGUUGGUGGACUAAUUAGCGGGGGAGGAUAUGGCACGUUGAGACGAAAGUUUGGUCUUGCUGCAGACAAUGUUAUCGAUGCUCGUAUGGUCGAUGUUAAUGGAAGAGUUCUUGAUAGAACAUCGAUGGGUGAAGAUCUGUUUUGGGCAAUUAGAGGAGGAGGUGGUUCUAGCUUUGGCGUCAUUUAUUCGUGGAAGAUAAAAUUAGUUCAAGUUCCUCCAAUAGUAACUAUUUUCACAGUUGACAAAACGCUAGAGCAGAAUGCAACUGCACUCCUUCAUAAGUGGCAAUCUGUUGCUCCGAAUGUCGAUAAGGAUCUAGACAUUAGAAUUCAAGUUAAUUGUAUACUAAGCAAUACAAGUGCUCGCGAAGAUAAGAAGACAAUACGAGUGACAUUCGUGUCCUUGUUCCUUGGUAAAAUCGAUAGUCUGCUCCAACUAAUGCAACUAAGCUUCCCUGAGUUGGGAUUGGCUAGAGAACAUUGUUCCGAAUUGAGCUGGAUUCAGUCAACCCUUUUUUUCACUGGCUUCCGACAGGAUCUUCUCCUAGUGUCUUGACAAACAGAACUCUUGUACCAAAAGUUCCAAUCAAAGCAAAAUCAAGCUUUGUGAAAGAGCCAAUCUCCGAAGAGGGUUUGGAAGGGAUAUGGGAACUAAUGUUCUCGCGUGAUCCGGAAACAACUAUUGUUGUAUUGACACCAUACGGAGGUAGAAUGAGUGAGAUAUCGGAAUCAGAAAUUCCAUUCCCACACAGAGCUGGAAACUUGUAUAUGGUCUACAUGGGAGUACUUUGGGCCGGAGACACUCAGCAGGCACUGAACUGGAUUAGGAACUUGUACGAUUACUUGAAUCCAUAUGUCUUGAACUCCCCAAGAAGCUCUUAUGUGAAUUACAAUGAUCUGGAUUUAGGCAUGAAUAAUCUCCAAGGUCACACGAGUUACCAGCAAGCAAGCAUAUGGGGUAAAAAGUACUUCAAAGAUAACUUUAAUAGGCUAGUUCAUGUAAAGCUUAAUGUCGAUCCUAGUAAUUUUUUCAGGCACGAACAGAGCAUUCCUCCCAUUCCAAUGUAACAAUUUAUACCUGCAACAUUCACAUCUGUACUGUUUUGUUCCCUAAUUUAUAUGUUUUUUACAAGUUAAAUUUUUUUAUCUUCAUCCGUGUUCUAAAAGACUUACCAAUUUGAAGAUAAUGAUCCUCUGGUCGCUGUCUGCUGCUGGCAUCACCCAGGGUCUUACACAAGUUUGCGACAACGUAGUUGGACCGUGAAUAUGCAAGGCCGGAAGAAAGCAAAUGGGCCGGAAGCCCGUCUGGAUAAGCCCAUUUACGAGAGAUCCACGUGAUAAUGCGAUUUCAAUUGCAUUUAUGCCUUAAAAUCGAACCAAAAUGCAUUAUAAGAUACAUGGAUACAUAAUUGGGUACAUAAUUUUGCACAAAAUGACUUGACAAUUGAGAUGAGAAGUUUUAAUUGGUGUUUUUAAUACAUGUGCAGAGGAUCAAUCCAAUCACAAGUUAACACAUACGCAUCCUAUGAAUAUUUUUGUACCAAAUUCUGUGCAUAUAAUAUUUUCCUUAAUAUAUAUACUUGAUUACUAGUCACAUAAAAUAAAGAGGUUAGCAUACUAAAAUGACCUAGCACGAGAGUGAUGGUUGGAUACAAUAUACACACGUUUAAAAUUGAAGUUCAAAUAUACUGUUUUCCGGUACAAGUAGUCAGUCACUCCAUUUUCAGUCAUACAAAACAUGUGAUCAAUCAAGUCUGCUCACCGCUUCCUCAUUUGCUUGUUUAUGUUGAAUCUCGUCAUAAUAAAUUGUACUAGCUAGCUACUGCAUGCAUGCAUGUCUAGCUACCUGCUUCGUUUUUCUUUUUCUUUUUUCUUUUUGUUUAUAUAAUGGAUCUUUGUGUUAUAAUUAGUGAUCCAGCCCCUUUAUCCGGGCCUGUAACCCUUUUUUUUUUUUUUUUCACAAGAUACUUUCACGUAUGAUGAAUUGUAUCAGAAUACAAUAGCCGCUCCCAGGAGUUCCUUUCGUUCAAGAAAAUUUACCAUCUAACCCUCGGACAUGCAGAGAUGACCGGGGACGCUUAGACAAUAAAGCUUUAAUGUUCGAUAAGAAAACACCCAUAAAAGGUCCCGCUAUCCUUCUUUCUUUCACCUCGCGUGUCCUGAAAAAUACAAUACAGAUAAAAUCAUAAUAAGUUCAUACAGACAAUAUAAUAAUAAAACUAUAUGAAACGAAAAACGAAAAACGAAAAGAGUCCACAAACUCAUUAAAAGAUAUGAAUAUAAUAUAAUUUUUUAAAGAACAAGGAAAGUAAUAUACAAACUAAUAUAAAUCAAAUCAUUAAAAAAUCUACACCAAAGAGAUAGUGAGAUCUCUUUGGUUAGAUACAUAAUAAAAUUUUGUCCGAACAAAAUAAUUGACUAUUAAUAUAAAAAAUAGGAAAAUAUAAUUGAAAUUGAAAAUUAAAAAACCUAAAAUAUAUCUACUCAAAAAUAAAAUAAAAUCAUGACAAGCAAAAGUAUCACAAUUUCAGCUAAUUAUCAUUAUUAACACUAUAUGAAUUUAAUUUGGUAUACACCAAUCAACAAAUCAACCAUUAAUGGCGCAAUAAUACCUCAUUAAGGCACAAUAAAGCCUCAUUUAUGGCCCCCAUGAAUUAAGGAAUUCAGGUACAAUGAUCAGUAAUUAUCAAAUUUAAACACAACAAUAUCGUAUCAAAUUAUCUUCUAAUUGAAAGACAAAAAUUCAAAGUAAACAUGGAGAGAAAAUUCAACUUUCAAAGAAUUAAUCACUAUUCAACAUUAAACUAAUCUACUUAUCUCCUUCUAUAUAUUAAAAGAGGACUAAGGGCAAAAUGAGCAAAAGAAAUACCUGUGAAAUGACGUACUUACCCUCGAUUUACAGACAAUUUCAGGAAUGCCAUCGUCCCUUCGUUUUCUGCUUAGUUUGCAGCAGUUUCUCCAUGUUCUCUGCCAGCUCUUUUAUUCGGCUUAGCUGUUCUCUCCUUGCCUGCGAUUUAUUUGGUGCUGGGUUGCCUCUCUUCAGUUGAGGUUUUCUCCUGGUUUGGGUUUUGGAGAAAGAGAUUCAUUUUCUAUUUAUAUAUUGAUGGUUCCUCGAAAAGACGUGGCGGGCAUAGUUUUUUUCACAGUAAAAAUCAUUUUUUUUUCAAAUUGUUGGUUGCUUUUCUCAAGUCAAGACUGGGAUUUGUUCGCAUAGCUAUGGAGAAGAUAUGUGAUACAGUGCCAGAUUGUGGCUUUGGUCAGGUAUACAUUAAUUCUAUAGGAGCUUAUUUAUGAACUCCACAUUUUUAUCCUGUCUUCUCAUCUCAGUCUGCACUAUCAAAUUGUAAUAGUUCAUGAUUGUCAAAGAGACAUCUGUUAUAUGGUGUUCACCUUCCUAUUCAGUUCUACAUUCAUCGUUUCUAAAAUCUGUAUCACAAAUUGUUUCAGACUGAAAUCAAUAAAUGGUGGAAGCCUAAUGCCGAUUUGAUCCUGCAAAUUGGUAGAGCAAUAAGGGUUGCGCCUAUCAUCUUCCGGGGAAUCUGUGGGUAUGUUUAGGCUUAUGGUUCCAAAAUCCUGUUAAUUUUGGAAGAUUUAAUUUGCAUUAUAUCUAGUGAUGUAUUCUCUUUUUCAGGAAAUUAAAUAUCACUAUAACAAGGCAUUGUCACAUUUACACUCUGUAUAGUUUUUGAGAAGGAAACGCAUUAAAAUUUCAUAAUUAUAUAUUGCGAUCCACGUUUAGUCUGCUUUAUUUGAGUCAAAUACUGUGUUAAAAUUAGAUAAGUCUUGGAAGUGUCCUUCUCAGGAACAAAAUCAUAACACAUGUGUCAAGACUUUUUGAAGCCCUUGCUCUGGUAACUUUUUAAACUGACUAUAUGAAAGUAUAAGUUUUAUCAGUACCUGGUAAGUUAUAUAUUUUUUCGAACUCUAGAAACAGGUUCUGCAAAUUGUUGCAUUUUGAUAAAAGCCCUGAUACUUGUGUAAUAUCUUAUCUGUAGGAAGUAGUAAUGACAUUAUAAUUUGAACAGUUUUGGUGUGUAUGUUGAUGGUCUUCUAUGAGCUCGAUGAUUGUUUUAGACUUUUUUUUAAGUGGCCAAACUUAUAUANCCAUCGGAGAGCAAGUAGAUUCAGUCAAGUCUAUUCAAUUCAGACAGUUUAUCACUCAGACCGGUCAUCUCUCUCUCUCUCUCUCUCUCUCUCUCUCCCUCUCCCUCUCUCUCUCCCUGCAUAUCUAUGUUUUUUGUACAGAAUCUUAAAUCUCUCUGUCAAGCUUGGAAAAGAUAAAGUUUUGGACGUUGACAAGUAAUCCUUUUUACGAAAAGGAGAUCUAUUUAUAUUUUUCAGUGUCUUGAUUUUGCAAUUACAGAAUGUCCUCCAUUCUUUUAUAAGGCUUAGUUUAAAGUUCAGGGGUUUUAGCCUUUUGUUAAUUUGUCUAGAACAAAAGGUGUACAUUAAUUUAUUUAUAUUUUAAAUAAAUUCAUCGUACUAAUUUUGUUUUACUAGUGGUGGGGGAGUAAUCAAUCUCGCAUUUUUUUAUCUACAUGCAUGAUUGUUACAUCGACACUAAUUUUAUGGAAAGGAUUGAUGUGUGUAACUGGUAGCGAGUCACCUGUAGUUGUGGUCUUUCAGGAAGCAUGGAGCCUCGCUUUAAGAGAGUAUGUGCCUUAAUCAAAUAUUUGCCUUUUAAUUUUGACGUAACUGAUAUAUCUAGGAGCAUAUGUCAUUUCAUUUUAGAAUCAUUUCAAUGUUUAUCUUUUUUAAAUCACCUUUUCUAUUGUUUGCAGUCAAAUGCGGUCACCUACGAUGAAGGUUGUGCUCCUAAAUUACAGGACAAACUGUACUUGGGAGAUGCAAUUUCUGAUUUCCCAGCAGUAUGUAUAUUCUAUGUGUUAGAAGUUCACAUUAAAAAAAUUGGCAGAUCAAUUUAUUGCUUAUGUAUGUCAUCUCAUUUCCCUGUAUUCUGUAGGUGGACAAUAAUGAACCCCGUGACGAGAUGCCUUAUGGAACUGAUCCAAAAACCGAGUUUCAGAAGUUCAUCAGAUUAAGGGAAGAAAUAAUCCAAGUAAUAAUAAGCAUAUGAUAUAUCUUUCUGACAAUUUGUGUUGGUUUGCAUUUUAAGCCUUUCUUUAUUAUCUAUUUAAUUGAACUCCCAGUCCUUUUAAAUGAUUGGCGUCAAUAAUUUUAUGAUGGAAUUGUGGAUUACUUAUGUAUGAAUUCAUCCCGGGUAAAUUAUUAUAAUGGCUUUGCUACAGAGUAGCGGCAAUGGUGUGCACCGGUGACUGCAAUCCAGUGCCUAUUGAUAAAAUUAGAAAACCAAGUUCAGGGGAAGAUACAUACUGGAAGGGAAACAAACUUCCUGGUAAUUAUACUUUUUCAGUCAAAAUUACUUUGAUAAGGUAGAACCUAUUAUCUUUCUCAUUAAAGUAAAGAGACUUGAUGCAUAAGGUGUCCCCAUUCAAGUCUAAGCUUUUAAAUCUCCCACCAACUUAUUUAUAAGUUGUAUCACACUCUGUAUAGUUUUUGAGAAGGAAACGCAUUAAAAUUUCAUAAUUAUAUAUUGCGAUCCACGUUUAGUCUGCUUUAUUUGAGUCAAAUACUGUGUUAAAAUUAGAUAAGUCUUGGAAGUGUCCUUCUCAGGAACAAAAUCAUAACACAUGUGUCAAGACUUUUUGAAGCCCUUGCUCUGGUAACUUUUUAAACUGACUAUAUGAAAGUAUAAGUUUUAUCAGUACCUGGUAAGUUAUAUAUUUUUUCGAACUCUAGAAACAGGUUCUGCAAAUUGUUGCAUUUUGAUAAAAGCCCUGAUACUUGUGUAAUAUCUUAUCUGUAGGAAGUAGUAAUGACAUUAUAAUUUGAACAGUUUUGGUGUGUAUGUUGAUGGUCUUCUAUGAGCUCGAUGAUUGUUUUAGACUUUUUUUUAAGUGGCCAAACUUAUAUACUCAGAUAGUUUCAUCUUUACCAUAGCAUCUUGUGUUCUCACGUAGGUGUGUAUUCAUGGUCUUGGUUGAACUGGAAACUCAUGACACGAAGGCCUAAAAUGAUAUUCUCCCAAGAUUAUGCAAAAUAUAUAACAUAUCAUACAUCUCAUGUCUUGAUCUUUUCUUUUACAUUUUAAUGGUGAUAAGACAAUAUUAAUAAUAUAAUUUGAUGUACUUGGUCACUAAGGAUGCAAAUUCAAAUUCCAGGAUGUUAUGUAUCUUGCUGAAGAAGCAGGAGAAACCCAAUGUUGUUAUAAUUUGAAUAUUGUAAUUUGAAUAAUGAGUAUAGAACAAAGAAUACUUGAUCUUCUAUCAGGUUUUGCAAAUAACUUGCAUUUGGCUACAGAAAGAAAUGCAUCAAAUUAGAAAAUCUAGAAAUUGUCCUUGCUCUCAGCCACGGAACCAAAUGCAUGUCAUAUGGUUCAGGUUGAGCUGGGGAUAUGAUUACACACCCACAUCAGAAUACAAGAUCCUAUAGUAAAUAUAUUCUUUAAAGAUAUAAAUCUUAACCAAGCUUGCAUAUAAAAAAUUGCAGACGGUACAUUUCAUGUCUUAAUUUUAUCUUUUAUAUUCUAUUAAGGUAGUGGAGCUUUUUUUUAUAAUAUAAAUUGAUUGAUACCUAUUUUAAAUAUAUGCGAUAUUGUCCUUGAUUGGCUAAUCGGGCCAAUUUAUUGUUGAUUAUUGUAUGUUUGUGUGUACUGCUUGCAUCUUAUUCAUAGUAAUAUAAAAUUAAAUGAUGCCAACAGUUGGUUAGAACAAUGUGCAAGUCAUUUAGAGCUCCAAUAGCACUGACAUAAUAUUUGUAUUAUUAGUUUUCUUAACCCUAGAAAGAAAAGAUGUUUUUGAGUUGAGGUAAAUGUUAGGCUCUCUCAAUAAAUUUUGGCGGGAUGAGUUUAAGUCAUAUAAUAGGGUUUUGUUACUUACAAUGCCUGAGCUAUUAGCUAAGCAAACUGUCAUCCACAGGAAAGACAGGAAUGCAAAAAGUAUUUUCAUCCAUUCAACACCCUAAACUCCCAGUCUUUUAAAUGAUUGACAUCAAUAAAUUUAUGACGGAAUUGUGAAUUAUGUAUAUAUGAAUAUAUCACAAUUAAAAUAUUAUAAGGGCUUUGCUACAGAGUAGCGGCAAUGGUGUGCACCAGUGACUCUAAUCCAAUGCUUAAUGAUAAAAUUAGGAAACCAAGUUUAGGGGAAGAUCCUAGACGGGAAACAAACUCCCUGGUAAUUAUACUUUUUCAACAAAAAUUACUUUGAUAAGGUAGAACCUCUUAUUUUUCUCAUUAAAAUAAAAAGCCGUGAUGCAUAAGGUGUCUCCAUUUAAGUAUAAGUUUUUACAUCUCCCACCAACUUAUUUAUAAGUUGUAUCACACUCUGUAUAAUUUUUGAGAAGUAAACGUAGAAAAAUUCAUAACUAUAUAUUGUGAUCCACGUUUAGUCCCGAUAAGGCAUCAAUUUUAGUAGAAUUUCUAAAUAUGAUUGCAGCUGUUGUGAGGUAAUACAAAAUCUGAGAGUUGUGUAAGGUUAUUGAACAUGUAAUUCUUCAUUAACUUCAUGAUUUUAUUAAAGAGUUUUCAGUAUAUGAACGACAACUUCCUCGACCAUGUUAAUUGAUCCCCUUCAUAAAUUGCCUCAUUAAAUUGUUGGUGUUAUCGUGUUUUAUCAAUGCCUGUUGUUUGAUAAAUUAUGUGUACUUGAUUGCCAGGAUCAAAACACAAUCAAGAAGAAACCGGACACCUGUAAAACAAGUCGGUUAAUAUAUAUGUUACAUGAAUUCUUUCAACAAAUGAAGGAAGAACACCAUCGAUGAUUCUGACACUCAAGUCAGACGACAAUCUCUUUUUAGAUCUUUUUAUCAGAGUAACUUGUAGAGAAAACGGACUUUGAUCUGCUGGAUAUGCCGAAAGAUUGAUUAAUGGUGAACCACAGGAGGUGCUAUUGGGAUGGGAAGUGCAGAGGGACAUGUAAAUGCACAUAAGAAGAAUGACAAAAUGAGAAAUGUGUGGUAAAUUAGAUGAAGAUAGAGACCAGAUUAGAGGGGGAGCCUGAUAUUUUCACUCCUUUAGUGAAUGAUCUCAUUGUUAGUUUUGGAAGAAGUCGCUUAACCAUACAUUUUGUUUUUGUCAGAAUCAAAUAAUAUUGACCGCUUAAAAAGUGUUUCCUCUUGUAUGGGGUUGCAAAUUCCAGAGUAUCCACAGUAGUUAUAACUGCAGGAUGUAGGCCUAUACGAUGAUUUCAUAUAUGUUUACUCUUCUUGCGCUUAAGAUCUCUCAUUCAGGAUGUGGAUCCACUUAAGAAUAUAUUCAGGCCUAUAGAUGUAUAUUCUUAGUAGCUCAUGAUGGUCCUGCAUGAAAAUAUAUUUUGCAUGACAAUAUAUCGAGUGCUUUACAAAUCACAAGUAUGACUUAUUUCAUGCAAUACGUGCCAUUAUUAAGAAUAUACAUGCUAUAACACUGAACAAAAUCAGUUAAAGGAAUUUCCGCUCAAAAUGUAGUAUGUCAUGUUGUCCUGUAUUCACAGUUACCUUCUUUUUCUUUCAGAUCUUUGUGCAUUUCCAGGUAAAAUAAACUCUAUUUUUUUUUUCCAAACGAACUCGGGGAAGGACAUUAAAUAAAAUUUAGAAUAAAACAACUUCUUGGGAAGGACAUUAAAUAAAAUUUAGAAUAAAACAACUUCUUGGGAAGGACAUUAAAUAAAAUUUAGAAUAAAACAACUUCUUGGCAGAGUGCUUUAGCCGCACCUUUAGCACCGGCAUGUUAUCCUAAUUUUAUGGGAGCAACUCUAAUUUGAUAAAAACAAAAUUAAAAUUUUUUUUGUUAAAGUUGAUAUUAUUUACCAUCAUUUUUAUGAUAUUUUGAACGUUAUUUGUUAAAAUUAUGAUAGAGGUAGACAACACUCUAUAAAUUUAUUUAUUAAUUAUAAUCUAUUUCAAAUAUAUAUCAUUGUAAAAAUUGAGUUAUAAUAGGGGCCCGUGCUUUGCACGGGCUUUUACGCUAGUUUAUAUAAUAGCCCAACACGUUCGUGUCAAACCUCCCUCCUGAGCAAAUAAAUUACCUAGCUCCGAACUCAAGCCUAACUCCGAACAUAACUCCUCCUCAUACAUAUAAAAAAAAUGUUAUUUAUGAGACUUGAACCCAAGCCAUCUUCAUUACAAUUACACCACUCAAACCACUUGAGCUACACAUGCAAUUAAUCUUUUUAUUAAAAAGCAUUAAACUCAUACAUUAAAACUGUUGUAUUUAUAUUCUUUUCGAUAUUUAUUUAUUUGAGUUAAGUUAUUAUUUCAAGGUAAGUCUCAUAUGUUUUUUACAUGAUAGAUUAAUAUCCAUAAAUUAAUUACUUAUGUAAUAAAUUUAAAUUUGAGAAAGAAUUUGAACAAUUGGGCUCGAGCCAUGUUUCAGAUUUCAAAAAAUGGAUAUAAUUCAUAUUUGAAUAAAAUUGGACGAAUUCAAAUCUAACUUAAUACUUUAAACGAGUACCGAUACAAUAUAGAGAAAUUUAAUUCAUGAAUGUGAGAAAUAAGCACAAAAACUAAGAUUUCGGUGAGCGUCUUUGAAAGGAAAAAUUGACGGACUUUCAACAUGGACUAUGUCAUAUUUUUUUUUUAAUUAUAAAAGGCGACUUAUAAAGAGAUUACAAUAUUUUGAAGAACAUGAAAUAAGAUAACUGAAAGAAUAUUUUUAUUUAGAUUACAUUUUAUUUUAAACUUAUGAAUUCAGAAUUCGACGUGUAACCAAAUCUUUCUAAUUUUUUUUUUUUUUAUGGAUAUAAGAAUAGUGACAAAGACAUCAAAUUUGGUGUUAGAAAAUAUGUCUAAAUGAUGUGAUUUUGGUGAUAUAUGAAUUUGAAAUAUUAUAACUUGUGAUACAAAGGUGAAUUUAGGGAAAUUCUAUGUUGUUAAUCAAAAGUCAACCAAAUAAUAAUAAAACGUGUUCACGAGACCUACUAAAAAGAAUUGAGUUAUAAAUUUUACUUGCUUAAAAUAAAAUAACACAGAGAAAUAAGUUAUAUAUAUAUAUUAAAGUCUUAAAAUUAUAAUUUUAAUAUGCCAUCCAUCAAUGUAUAACAUACGAGUUAAAUAAAAUGAUUCAAACUAUAAUUAAAUUAAUUAAUCAUUUACAAAUUAAACUAAUAAAAUAUAAUUAAUUCUGAAAUGGAUAAUCCGACGCGAUAAGGUGAAAACUAAUAUCUGAUUAAACGGGAAUAGAACAAGAAUAGUUUUUCAUAAUCCAGAAUAUCGAACACCUGAUUUGAUCUUUAACAAUUGAACAUGAUAUGCUACAUUACUCACCCCUAAGAAAUAAGAGUAUCAAAAUAUUUAAAAAUGUGAGUUUGCACAAAACUAAAAAAGUAACUAUACGACUAAUUAAACUAAAAAUUUCUUAUUUUUAUGAACUUCAUGGUGCCUAACUGACAUCUACUCUAUUUUUGCUAUUUGAGAUCUGGUUUAUAACAAUUACAUGAAAAAUCAUUAAAAGUCUUAAUCAACAAGCUCAGAAAACUAAUGAUAAAAAAUUAAUAUUUUAUAACAAGACAAUAUUAUAACACGCGGUAUCAAAGUAAUAAUCAUCUAAUAUUUUAAAUUAACAAAAAAAUAUAUAAGACAUUGAAGUACUAUAUAAUUGAUAUGAAAAUUAAAAGGGUAAGCUACAUCAAACGUGCCGAAAUUUUUCGGGUACAAUUAUAAGGUUAGUAGUUCAAUUGAUGCUUUUAUAAUAAAGUAAGGUAGGGUCUUUUACAUACAAUAUAUGUUUCAAUUAUUAUUUACACAAGGUGUGUGCAACAUAUGAUAUAAAAGAAUGUGUUGAUGGUCUGUCUAUCAUAUAUCACUUAACUAUUACACAAACGUGCGCUCAAAAAAAGAGAAAUAAAUAUAAAACAACGCGGACCACACAUCUUCAUCUAAUCAUGAUUUAGGAUAUCGUAAUUCACAUAUCAAGAACAAGUUUUCAUAUUGGAUGAAAUAAUUUAAUAAUUUUUAACAAUAAAUUACAAAUCUUUUUAAUGAGGUAUAAUAUAUUUAAAUUCUAAAAGUUUCAGGAUUAAUUUCGAAUAUAAUUUUGAACAUGUAGAUAAUAUGGUAGUGGCCUCUAUAUCCUAACGAAUUAGAAUAUAGAAAAAUCAGUUCAAAUGUUGUUUUUGAUCCAUAAUUUUUUUUAAAUAUAGUACAUAUUAUUACUAUAUAUCAAUGCUAUUAGAUUGCAAAUGUUACAUUUCAUAUUUACAUAUUCUGUUAAAAAAAAAAGACGUAAUAGUUAUGCUCGAAAUAAUAUGAUGUCACACGAAUAUUAUUUAAAACACAACAAAAACUAGAAUCCCGUGCCUCGCACGGGCUUUUAUGCUAGUAUAAUGAUUAAACAACAACGCCGGUGUUCACUGUAGCAAUUUAAAAACAACACUGCUUACUUCAAGGUCAGAACUUAUGUAAACAUCAUACACACAGACGCAUAACAAGGGACUCAUAACAAGUUUUAGAAGUAUUCAUGAUCAAAAAAUUCAGAUUUGAGUGUAAUUUCAUAUAAUGUUGAAUCUCAUAUAAUGUAAUUUCUCAUGUUCUGAAAUUAUACUCGCAAUCCUCUUUUCAAUCUUGGCAAACACCGGAACAGAUUUUCGAACCUAAUGAAAACUUUUUGUUCAAUCUCUGCAUAGAAUUGUUAACACGAUAGUGCCCCACAAAAAUUAUUGCAUUAUGCUCGCUAAACUUGUAAUAAUGUAUAAGGUACAUUUUCGUUUUCCGCCAUGCACGUUUAUAUAUGACCUAGUAGUCUAGUACAGUAGAAUCCAAAAAAAAAAAAACAGAUGUGAUAAGUAGAUCCCAAGAAGAUAAAAAUAUAUAUAUAAAUACAAAUAUUUUGACAACGAAUCACUGUGACGUUGUUUGUUUACCUGCUCUAUGUAUAGAAUUGAAACUGCCCCAGCAUCACUACGUCCUACACGUCAUUGAAAUUAAGCACUGAUAAUAUUAAUUAUAAUUUUCUUUGGGAUGGCUUCUUAAUUUAUUUCAGCUUCUGUAUUGCAUUAUUGCAAGUCUUGUGGGUGAUUUUUUUUUUGAACUCCAGCAAAAAAAAACACACUCUUCUCUAUUCUUCUCUGGUUUUAAUUUGUGAAAUAUAAUAAUUUCACAAAACAAAAUGUAUUUAAGCUUUUCAGAAUUAUUCUGAUACGGUUUUUCAUCAAAAAAAAGAGAGAGAAGAUUUCAAAUGAAAAGCUAAACUGCAUAUAUAAUAUAUAUUACUCGUGAGUAAAUUCGAAACUAGAAACGCAUAAAAUUUACCUAAUCGCCUAUCUCACAACUAUCCUUUUCGAUUUGAAGCUAGAGACUGUUAACAGCUUAAUCAUAUACUUACAUUAUGGAUAAAACAACUCAGUACAGUACCGCACACAUAUUAUACUUAAUUUCAAAUUAUGUAUAUCAACUUUAAUAUCAUGUACGAUAGCAAGCAAUAAUAUCUCAGUGACUUGCCCUUUUGAAUAAACAAAGACUUGUAAACUAGUACAGUGCCCUAAAAUAUAUGUAGCGCCUGCCAACGAGAAUCAUGUGCGAAAAAUAAUUGAAUACCUAGACAUUAUUGAUCUUCUCUUCCGCAAUGAAAACCCUAUAAAUAGGGUAUCUUCCUCAGUAUAAUAAAACACACAAGCAGCUCAGUGACUAACAAACACAGUCAUGAAGAGUCCUCCAUCCUCUUCAGCACUUUCACUUUUCUGCAUUCUUUUUGCUAUAACCAUCUCACCUUCUACUGCAAUAAUAAGCAUCCAGUCUUCUUCUGCAUGGAUUGAUCUUCCUAAUCCUUCUGGCUUUGUAACAUGCGUCAAAUCCAUGUCCAAAUAUGUUUAUACACCUUCUAAUUCUUCAUACAAUGACAUUUAUGCCUUUUCCGCUCGAAACCCUCGUUUCCUAAUGCCAGAUGCAAAUCGUCUUCUUCCUGCUGUAAUUGUCACUCCUGGAGCCGAAUCAGAAGUCCAAACUGUGGUGAUCUGUGCGAGAAGAAAUGACAUGCAGAUUCGGACAAGAAGCGGAGGCCAUGAUUUCGAAGGCCUUUCUUACAGUAGCACAUACACUCGUCCUUUUGUCUUGCUUGACAUGAUCAACCUUAAAUCGGUUAUUGCUGACCCCGUGACCAAAACCGCAGUGGUGCAAGCAGGGGCAACUCUGGGCGAGGUCUACUACUGGAUCUAUCGAGCAAGUGGACUGCUCGGCUUUCCUGCCGGGGUUUGGUCCACGGUUGGAGCAACUGGACUCAUUUGUGGUGGAGGGUAUGGUCCAUUGAGACGAAAGUAUGGUUUUGCGGCUGAUAACGUAAUUGAUGCCCGCAUAGUCGAUGUUAAUGGAAAUAUUCUCGACCGAAAAGCUAUGGGCGAAGAUCUUUUUUGGGCGAUUCGAGGUGGUAGUUGUUCUAGCUUCGGUGUCAUUUUGACCUGGAAGCUAAACCUGGUUGAUAUCCCCCCAAAAGUGACCAUUUUCACAGUGCUUCGAGAGGAUCGCCAGACUGAAAUCAUGUAUCCAUUUCAAACCAUUGCUCCGGUUCUUCCAAUUGAAGUGGACAUCAGGUGCCGUAUAAGUACAGUCGUCAACUUUAAUACGAGUACACGACCAGACGGUUUAGCAAUUCAACUAGGCUUUACGGGUGCAUACCUCGGUUCAGCUGAUGACUUAUUCACCAUAUUUAGCACCAGGCUCCCCGAAAUAGGUUUCCUUAGAUCAGACCUUGUGGAAGUUCCUUGGAUCGAGGCUCUCAUGCAAUCCUCAUUUUUCCCGUUAUUCUCCUCCAACUACACUCCCGAGGAUUUCCUCAACCGAUCAUUUUUAGCUGAUAUUCCUACCAAAGCAAAGUCCGACUUUGUAAGAUCACCACUGUCCGUGCCAGCAAUAAAUGGCUUAUGGGACAAGCUUCUUGAGGUUGGAGCAGGGGAGACAACAGUUAUCUUCACACCAUAUGGAGGAGUUCUGGACAAUUAUCCAGAAUCAACCAUUCCAUUUCCCAAUAGAGCUGGAACAUUGUUCAUGAUUUACGCGAGGGUUCUGUGGGUUGGAAACACUACACAAAAGUUGGAAUGGAUUCGCAGCUUACACGAUUACUUGACACCAUAUGUUUCAAGCAACCCUCGAAGAGCCUAUUAUAACUACGAUGAUCUUGAUUUGGGUGCAAACCCUUCUACCGGAAUCAUCAGCAACAUCGCUGCACGUCGUUGGGGGAGCUCGUACUUUAAUCAGAACUUCAACAGGUUGAUUGCAAUAAAAACACUGGUUGAUCCACUCAACUUCUUCAGACACGAGCAGACAGUCCCUCCAUUUUCACUCAUACAAGACAUGUGAUCGAGUCAACUCAUUUUCGUCAUUUGCUUGCUUGUGUUGAAUCUCAAAAUAAUAAAUUGUACUGGCUAGCUACUGGGUGCAUGUCUAGCUAGAUCGUGUAUAUCUUAUUGUGCCGGAUCUUUAUGUUACAGUUAAUGAUCCAUCGCUUUUUAUCCUGGCAAAUUACCAUCAAAUUCCAAUAAUGUGAUUUCUCAUUUCCUCAAAGCUGUAUGCGCAACCCUAAUUUAAAUUUUGGCACACCCAUAGGCCAUGGCUAAGUUUUCGGAUCCAAACUUUUUGCACACGCAAAUUAUUGCACCAUGUUCUCUACUAUUCUACCAAUGUAUAAUUACAACUUCUUCUUCACUUGCCACCCACUUUCAGCAUCACAUUUAUUAUUCCUCACCAUAUCACGGUCUAGAUAUGAAAUUAAAAGCAAUGUCAACGAAUCCCUGCGAUAAGGUUCGUUUACCUGCUCUACUUAAAAGAAAUGGAUUUUCUUGUCGCUACUAAUGUGAUUCCUGCACGGCAAUGAAAUAAUGCAGUAUUAAUUCCAGUUUUCGUUGGGUUAGCUACUGCAUGUGUUUCAGCUUUUAUAUUGCUACUACCAUAAACUAUUGCACAGCUUUUCUACAUUCACUAUUCACAUCAAUGUCUAGCCGGCGGAAAUUCAGUAUACUCUUUCGCAAGAUCAGUUAAUUCAAAGAGAUAGCAAUCUUAUUGAAGAGCAACUAGUCUGAUAAAAAGUAUAGUUUUAUAAUUUGUUUUAAUAAAAUUUAAUUAUUAUAUUUUUUCGCUAAUAAGUAAUUUAAAAUAAUAUAUAAAACUAUAAUAAUAAGUAAAAUUAUACUUUAUAUGAGUUUCAAAAUAUGUGUCGAGCCUCAUUUAUAGAACCUAGAAGUAGGGCUGUAAAUCGAUACGGACUAUCCGGUGUCUCGGCUCAUAUUUGGCUCGAAAAUAUGAUACAUGUUUCAUAUCCGUUUUGAAAACGAUCCAAAUCUGACAAAAAAAAUUAAGCUCAUAUAAUAUAUGAUCUCGGAUACGAGCACACAUAUACCCGCUCAGAUUCGGUCUCAUAUAAUUUUUCAUAAUAUGAUCCUACCCGAAUAACCGAAUAUGAUCCACAGUUCAUAUUUGAUUCAAACUCAUAUACAUAUUAUAUUUUAACACCAUCGUAUUUGCAAGUAAAUAGUCAUCAUUUUAUAAAAUUGGAACAUCUUAUUUAAGUUUAUAUCUUCAUAAAAUAUGAUUUUAUUUAUGUGAUCAUAGUUAUUAUCUUCAUAUAUAUUUAAUAAAUGAUAUAUACCAAAAUAUAACUAUACGUUUUAAUUUAAAAUAAUUAUACUUUAUAAUAUUAUGUUUACUUAGACUAAAUGAUAAUUAUUUGAACAACUAAAAUAAUAAUGAUAUUUGAUGUCAGUGGAUCAUAUCUGGCUCAUGUUCGAUGGAUCAUAAACUACCUGGUUAAAAAAUAAAAAAUACGAUACUGGAUAAUAUCCGGUUCAUAUUCGAUGGAUCAUAAAAUACCCGGUUAAAAAAUUAAAAAUAUGAUACUAGAUCAUAUCCGGUUCAGAUCCGAAUCUCAAAUACCCGGAAUCGGUUUAUAUCCAAAUAAAAUGAUCCCGGACCCAAAUCUGGACAAGCUAAAAAUUAUAUAAUCCGAUACUUGAGCAGAAGGAUACCCGGAUCACUCGGAUCAUUUUACCGCCUUACCUAGAGAGACUGGGAGUAACAUUAAUUAUUAUAUAAUGUAGUAACUAAUUUAAUGAAAUUAUCAUGUUUUUAAAAUACCGACUUGAUUCCUAAUGUCUACCUAUAUUAAGUACAUAUUGUAAGGGGAUUGUGAUUCAGAAUAUCAAUUUUUUUAUAGUUUUAUUUUUUAACCAUACUAAUAAUAUUUAACUUAGUUGAGUAGUUUAUACACUAAUCUAAAUUUAGUGAAAGCAAGGUAUUAUUUAUUUAGAGCAUCUCUAAUCAUAUAUAAUUUUUAUCUAAAAAUUAUUAAUAUAUAUUAUAAAUAAAAAAUAUACAAAUUAUGUAAAAAAAAAAUUAACUCCAGUGGUAAUUCAGUUGGAGAUCUUAUACGAUAGUAAGUAGUAACGUUAGUAACAUUGCUUCUCUCAGUUUCAAAAGAGUAUUUAAGAAAAAUGAAAAAAAUAAUAUUAACUUAAAUCUUAUUUUCUAUUAUCGUAUCUUUUUAACUAGGAUUCGUUUGGUGCUCUCUUGUUGCCCAUUGGAUAUUUAUAUAUAUUAUUAUCUUAACUUUCUUUUGAGAGAAUAUUAUUUUAUCAACUUGAUCUUGAUUCACAUGAUCAUACUUUGUAUUACCAAAAUCUGACUGCUAUCAUCUCAUCCGAACAUCCUCGUAGAAUAUUCGGACGACAAUGUGACUGUUAUAUGUAUACUUGAAAUCUGACUGCUGUAGGUUGAUCAUACAUUCGUACUGGUCUUGCUAUAAAUUAAGGACAUACGCGAUCGAUUGGGCAGGUUACCUAACGCUAUUACGUCGAUUAGUGCCACAAUCAUCGUUGUACUCGGAUUUUAAAAUGGUAUAACUUGUCAAUGUGUGCUAUUUUAUUUCUCUGGUUGAUUUUUAAAACUAAUAUUGGAGGCCACAAGUCAUAUCCUAAUCCUGUUACGGUGUUCGGUGUAACUUUACACCAAGCGCGGGUUGUGUAAUUUCACACCACCACCUUCAUCUCAGCCAGUCGCUGGAAUAUGUUAGUCAGAAUGUGGAACCGUGACGAGAGCGAUAUAUAUAUAUANAUAUAUAUAUAUAUAUAUAGAUACAAUAGAUAGCCGCCCUUGUUUUUCAUUAUUUACUAGGCUAGGUUGGAGUUGGCCGGGCUUAAAAGGUCGGCGGCUGAGUUUACAAGUCAGAAUCACUUAUUCGUACCGUUUAGAUAAAAAGUCAAAAAAUACUUAUAAGAUGUUGAAAAUAAUAGAUUUAGUUUCAUGACUUCUACUUCUUUCACAAACACUUUAAUCAUUUAUAAGGUAUAAGUCUUAACUUUUUUCUAACUUCUACUUCACUUAUUUAUUUUAAAUAAGAAGCAUUUAUUUUAAACUCAUCCAAACAACAUUCGUAUAGUAGGCUCCGUGUUUAGUUGUUUACUCUGCAAGAAAUAGCUAUGCUCCAAAUACUAUUGAUAGUUGUAAAUAUGCAUAACACUACUGAUCUCAAUUCAAUGCUACUGAUCUCAGCUGACAGUCGCUGGAAUCUUGAAUAUGUUAGUUAUAAUGUGGCUUUGAGGACAGCUAUAGCAAACACCAAGCGUGCCCGGCGUUAUGUUGCACCAAGCGCGGUUGAGCAUAGGAUCAACACAGCCGAUCGGCAUAUCGAGUACCCGUAGUCCAGCAAAAGAGUUCAGCAGCAACAGUUUCGUGUUUUAGCAUUGCGUGUAAAUCUGAAAAUGUAUGAUUUGUGUUAUAAUUAUUGGUCGGAGAAAUAUACUUUAUUUUAUUUUGUUUUCACGUUUUUUUUUCUUGGCAAUUAGGGUUUGUUUUUUCUGCCGUUCAACAACUCCAUGUACGGGCUAUCAUUUUUUAAACAUGUCAUAUCACUAUCAGCUGCAUGGACUACAGGAGGUGAGUGACACGCCUGAUAAAAAAGAAAUCAACAAGUCAUCCUAAUUUUUCAGUAAUACAUACAGGGUCAUGUAUGCCAGGAUGAUAGUUGGAUGGAUAUUUAGCUAUCGAGAUUUUAAUAAAUUUUUAAUAUAUUAGAAAAAAUUAAUUGUUGGACUAUUAAAAUAUUUUCUGUCCUCUCAAAUUUUUACACUAUUUUUUUUAGACUCAUCUAAGUUAUAGUUUUAUAAUAUAUAUAUACAUGUGUAUGGGUGGGUGGGCAAUAUGAUGCAUCUUGGUUUAAAUGAAGAUCAUAGAUCGAAUAAAAACUAAAAUUUAAGAGAAAAGACGAUUAUAUUGAAUCUGAUUUUGAAGGAUCUGAAUCAAACUCUGAAUUUUCUUCGGUUCAUUUUUAUUUUCAGUUCAGGAAAAACGCUCGCAACUGUCAGAGCUAUUCUUCUAAAUUCAAAGAUAUGGCUCUUCUAAAUUCAAAGAUAUGGCCUCUGGAAAGAAAAAGAAAAUAAACUAUAUAUGGGCCGUUGACGUGCUUAUACUAACAUUGUAUUUUUGGAUAUCAAACAAAAUUGCCUGUCACACACGUCAUGCACGCUUCAAUUUAAGCAUAUAUUCACUUUCAUAUGGGCUAGGUUUAUCUCGGUGACUUGCUCUUUUGUAUCACCGAAGUCCACUGGACUAGUAAUGCAUUAAAUUAAAUCUAAUAUAGCCAAACGAUUAACAUGUGCGAUACAAAUAGUCGAAAUACCUAGAUUAUUGGUCUUCUCUUCCAGAACGAAACCCUAUAAAUAGCGCAUCUUCCUCGGUUUAAGAAACACACCACCAACUAAGUAAGAAACACGAUCAUGAAGAGUCCUGCAACCUCUUUAGCCCUUUCACUUUUCUGCAUUCUUUUGGCCAUAGCCAUCUCACCUUCUUGUGCAGUAAUAAGCAUCCAGUCUUCUUCUGCAUGGAUUGAUCUUCCUAAUCCUUCUGGCUUUGUAACAUGCGUCAAAUCCAUGUCCCAAUAUGUUUAUACACCUGCUAAUUCGUCAUACAAUGAUAUUUAUGCCUUUUCCGCUCGAAACCCUCGUUUCCUAAUGCCAGAUGCAAAUCGUCUUCUUCCUGCGGUCAUUGUCACUCCUGGAGCCGAAUCGGAAGUCCCGACUGUGGUGAUCUGUGCCAGACAAAAUGACAUGCAGAUUCGGACAAGAAGCGGAGGCCAUGAUUUCGAAGGCCUUUCGUAUAGUAGCACAUACACCCGUCCUUUCGUCUUGCUUGACAUGAUCAACCUUAAAUCGGUUAUUGCUGACCCCGUGACCAAAACCGCAGUGGUGCAAGCAGGGGCAACUCUGGGCGAGGUCUACUACUGGAUCUAUCGAGCAAGUGGACUGCUUGGUUUCCCUGCUGGGGUUUGGUCCACGGUGGGAGCUACUGGACUCAUUUGUGGCGGAGGAUAUGGUCCAUUGAGACGAAAGUAUGGUUUGGCGGCUGAUAACGUAAUCGAUGCCCGCAUAGUCGAUGUUAAUGGAAAUAUUCUCGACCGAAAAGCUAUGGGUGAAGAUCUUUUCUGGGCUAUUAGAGGUGGUAGCUGUUCUAGCUUCGGUGUCAUUUUGACCUGGACGCUAAACCUGGUUGAUAUCCCCCCAAAAGUGACGAUUUUCACAGUGCUUCGAGAGGAUCGCCAGACUGAAAUCAUUUAUCCCUUCCAAACCAUUGCUCCGGUUCUUCCAAAUGAAGUGGACAUCAGGUGCCGUAUAAGUACAGUCAUCAACUUUAAUACGAGUACACGGCCAGACGGUUUAGCCAUUCAACUAGGCUUCACGGGGGCAUACCUUGGUUCGGCUGAUGACUUAUUCACCAUAUUUAGCACCAGGCUCCCCGAAAUAGGUUUCUUGAGAUCAGACCUUGUGGAAGUUCCUUGGAUCGAGGCUCUCAUGCAAUCCUCGUUUUUCCCAUUUUUCUCCUCCAACUACACUCCCGAGGAUUUCCUCAACAGAUCAUUUUUAGCUGAUAUUCCUACCAAAGCAAAGUCCGACUUUGUAAGAUCGCCACUGUCCGUCCCAGCAAUAAAUGGCUUAUGGGACAAGCUUCUUGAGGUCGGAGCCGGGGAGACAACUGUCAUCUUCACGCCUUAUGGAGGAGUUCUGGACAAUUAUCCAGAAUCCGCCAUUCCAUUUCCCAACAGAGCUGGAACAUUGUUCAUGAUUUACGCGAGGGUUCUGUGGGUUGGGAACACAACACAGAAGUUGGAAUGGAUACGAAGCCUACAUGAUUACUUGACACCGUAUGUUUCAAGCAACCCGCGAAGAGCUUAUUAUAACUACGAUGAUCUUGAUUUGGGCGCAAACCCUGCCACUGGCAUCAUCAGCAACAUAGCUGCCCGUAGCUGGGGAAGCUCGUACUUUAAUGAGAACUUCAAUCGGUUAAUUGCAAUAAAAACACUGGUCGAUCCGCUCAACUUCUUCAGACAUGAGCAGACAGUCCCGCCAUUUUCACUCAUACAAGAGAUGUGAUCGAGUCAGCUCAACCACCUGAUUUGCUUGUUCGUAUUGAAUCUCGUAAUAAUAAAAUUUAGCUAGAGCUACUGCAUGCUUGUCUAGCUAGAUCUCGUUUGUUGCUAUCUUUGUGUGCUGGAUCUUUAUGUUAUAGUUAAUGAUCCAUCUUAUUGUAUCAGGGCCUGUACUGUAACACUCUAUUUCGAAUAAUGAGAUUUCUCGUCUCCUGAUAUUUACACGCGUAAACCUUAUUUCAAUCUUAGGCCACAUUUUCGGGUUCGAACUUUGAAAUUUCUGUUCAUCUUACAUGAAACUAUAUAACAACUUCUUGCAUCAGGUUCUCUGCAUAUUUCAAAUGUAUAAUUACUUCUUUUCCACUUCCCCGAUAUUUUUCAUCCACAUUCAUAAUUCGUCGCCAUACAAAAGUCUUGCGAAGAAAAAUGAACCAAUGUCAACGAAUCAAAUUGACAUGGUUCUUUUACCUGCUCUACUAUAAAAUUGGAUUUUCUUGUCGCUGUUAGAGUAAUCCUUACACGGCUUUGAAAUAAUGUAGUCGUGAUUCUCUUUUUCUGGGGGACGGUAGCUAUACCUGGUUUCAACCUUGAUUGAUAUUGCGAGAAACAUAUACUGCAUUUCUUUUUUCAUAUUUAAAUCAAUACAUCAAAAUCUAGCCGGUGGAAAUUUAGAAUACUCUUUUCCAGAAUCAGAUAAUUUAAGAGGAUGCAAUCUUAUUGAAAGAACAAGUAGCCUAAUUGACCAUUAAGUAUGUUCUAUGUUCUAUUCAAGACUGGUAGUUGGCAAAUGGUACUUGGAAUUUUACUGCUAUACAUUAUUCAAACGUUUGGGGUUAGCUUUCAUUAUCAAAAUUUUAAUAAAUAAUGUUUAGAGAUUCACCAAUCACAUCUAUAAAAAUGGUUCCAGAUAUCAUUUGAAAACAAGAUUUUAAGUUGGGUUUAUACUAAAGUAACGAAACGUAACAUCGUGUAGCGUUUUGGGUAAAAUAAAUAUUUUUCAUUUUUUAAAGUUAAAAAACGCUACUUAAUAGUAUUUUGGGUUUAAAACGCUACUUUAAAUUGUGUUUUGAGUGUAAAACACUACUUUAUCUUGUGUUACCGAUUUUUCUUUAUUUUUAAAGUUCAAAAUGCUACUUAGAGUGGUACAAAACACAAUUUCAUCCUGGAUUACCAAAUUUUUUUUUUUUUUAAAAAUAAAAAAGCAAUCAAACUGUCCAACACUAUACUAUGUUGCGUUUUGAUAACUUCUUAGCUAACGCGUCUUGUUGUUGUGAUAUUUGGGAUAUUUUUUCGGAUGAUGAUAUUUGGGACAAUUUUAAUUUUAAAUUAUGAUAUUGUGGAUCUUCUCUUAUAAAUUUUGGGUCAAUGCAAGUAAUGAAAAUGAUCGAUUGAGCUUGUUACCUAACGCUCUUUGGUCGAUUAGUGCCACCAUCAUUGUACUCGGAUUCUUAAAUUUUAUAACUUGUCAACGUGUAGUAUUUUAUUUCUGCUAUUGGUUGUUAAAUUAAUAUGUGAGGCAAGCAACAAAGCCAAAUUAAUAUGCAGGCUCCCCGUUUAGUUGUUAACUGAAGAGAAAUAUUGAUUAAGGUUCAAUGUUUUCUGCUAGUUUUAGAUAUAACACUAAUGAUCUCAAUACAAUGGCCACAUGAAUAUCUCUGUGUAGCAUUAUACCCGUAAAUUUAAUCUUUUUGCACUCGUUCUGAUAUAUUGGAAAAAGAAAAUCUUAAGAGUAUAUAUGCGGUGGUCCUUAGAGCAUGGGCAGCGGGAGAGCCCAAGUCUCUUAUUUUUGGGUCCCAUUAAAUUGCCACAUAAGCGAAAGAGGAACUUGGGUGAUUUAGCUCCAAUGGAUGAUUGUAGCCUAAGUACUGCUGGUGUUAUUUUAUCGUAUAUAAUAUUAUGUCAUUAACUGUUUGAAUCAAUCCAGAAUGUUUAAAUAAAAUAAGAUAUGAUAUAAAAGUCAAGACUGCAGAAAUGGCCAAGACCCAGCUUCGCGGGACCGGACCGCUUUUUCUCAUUUGCUCCAACGCUGAAUUUGUGAUGGGAAUCCUUUUCACGGGAUCCAAUGCAAGAGUUAGGCCUGCGUUGGAGUUGCUCUUAGGAAUUCAGGAUACAAAAUUCAGUAAUUCCAAAAACUCAAGAGGUAAGAAAUUCAUAGCUUAACGGAUGAAGUGCCGUAACUGCCCAUAUGUUCCAAUCAAACACUGCAGUACAGUUAUGGGGGAAAACAUUUGAUGGUUCCAGGCUCCAUCAUGCAACAUUGAAGCACGGCCUAAAAAAAGAGGAACGCCCAACUCAAAACUCUCUUUUAGAAAAGCAGAGAUGGAUGGGAUGAGGAUAAAUGAUGUAGACUAUUAUCAAACUAUUUUAGUUAUCAAAAUUUAAAUAAAUCUUAAGUAUUCCUGCUGAUCUCGCCGGAAUCGCAAUAAUCAUGUGAACUUAUAAUUCUCUUGAUGAACUCUUUUACAAAAAAUCUCUGAUAUUAUAACCGUGAUAUUAUAACCAAUUCAUAAUUAAUGAUAAUUAUGUGAGCUUAUAAUUCCCAAUGUUAAUGGACUUUUUCGCAAGAAACCUCUAUUGAAAUUGAUAUAUAACCAAUUCAUCGAUGUAAUAACAAUAUUUAUGCCUACAUUUUAAAAAAUAUAUAUUAUAUCAUAUACAACAUCAGCAUAAAAGGUUAUUCUAAUAAGUAAUUAAAUAUUUCAGUGAUAUUGUUUAAAAAAAAUAUUUCAGGGAUAUUAAAUGAAAUAAUUAUAUUAUAAAACGUACCAAAAUUCCCAUGUACUAUUUUUUUAUUUACUUUCAUGAAUAGCGCCAGAUUUCCUGAAAAACACCCCAUCCACCAUAUCAUAUCUUGUAUCCUGUAAAAUAAAUAACAAAUCUCAUACUUCAAAUACUGUACCAAGCCCAUGUCCUCCCAAUUUCGUAUACAAUUUUUCAAACAUACUGAACUUAACCACAAUUCCUACUCGCAUAACAAAGAAGUGUUAGGAUUCUCAUCCUAAACAACUCGGGAGCAUGCAAAUAAGAACUUUGACACAUAACCAGGCUCUUGCCGUCAGAGCAUGCUCUGUUCUGUGUGCACCUUAUUUCCCUCCGUUUUCCCACCUCAUUUUCCUCCAUCGCCUGCCUCAUUGCCACCUUCGCCCUUCUCCUUCUCACUUUACCUUUCCAGCAUACAGCAUUGAAGCACAUCCAUCUAAAAGAAAACAUAAAUUGAGCUCUAGAGAAUGAUCCUCAAUAAUCUAAAAUCACCAUUAUAUCGUAUCUUUUGAAUCCAGUUGGUUUGCAUUGGCAUCAUCACCGUAUUCAGAUGUAGAGCUUGCAUCUGUCUCCUUGUCCGGGCAAUCUAUUUGUACACAUUCUUCAACCGAGUCUAUAUCUCGACUCCUCUGUGGUGAGGUCAACUCUUCUUUCUUUACGAUGUUAAACAUUAUCCCAUUGAGCAUCCUUUCAGGCUGCAAAAGGUCCCCCUCCGCCACCAAAAUGCUAGAAUUGCUUCCGGGAACUCUGUGAUCAGGGUCAACUUCUAAGCUUCUUUCUGGUGUUGUCACCCUUAGGUUUUUAUAAUGUGGAUCCCUGCUCACAGCUUGACUCAAGGUGUUGGGAAAAGGUACUGUUCCCUGGUUAAUCUUAGAAUUUCUUUCCAAGUUCUGUACAUAAUCUACGAACUUAUCAGCUGAAGCCGUCCUCAUCAAGGGACCUCCAGACCUCGUCCAAGAAUUGAGAUCUGCAGUCUCCGAUUCACUGUCACUACCAUCAAGCAUGUUACGGGGGCUCCGCCAAUUCCGGCCAGAGGGUCCUGGAGAUCCAGCUACUCCUUGAUGGAGUGAGGAAGCAGCAUCUUGCAAAAAGUCUUCAAGGGACCCUGUCGAGUUCUCUCGUGCCAUGCAGUUCCACGAAGGAAUUCUUUUGGAAGCAUUAAAUUUAACCGUGCUGGCUAAACCUUGUGAAGCAGCAGUGGCUCUCUCUGCACUCCUCUUUAAACGACGCAUGUGAUUCAGUAUUGCAACACAUUCAUCAAGAGCUAGCUCAAUUCCGCAAUUGGCUUUUAUGGCUGAGAGCUUCUCCCAAGUGCACCUUCUACCUUGGUUGGCUGCCUUGUGAAGCUCCGCAAGUGUAGGAUUCUGAAUAAUUUUUGAAAUCUGAUAGUGGCACCAAAAAAAGAAGAAAAAGCAGCUGUCCCAUUAGCAAUGGUAGUACAACCCUGAUUAAGGAAUUGGUAAAUGCAACCACAAAAUUCGUGACAAAACAUAUAAGUUGCUUCAUAUGUCAUGCUCUUGCUUAUAGGUCAAGGAGACCAAUUCUUCUCUAAUUAUUCUUAAGUGAAAAGGAUAAUAUGAUUAAACAUCGUACCUGAGCUAGAGUGGCAGGCAUUACAACAGUGACAUCACCUUCCCACUCUUGAGCAAAAAGCCUGGCAAGUCCUCCCAAGGGAAACCCAAGUUCAAGUAUCUGGUUGCAUCUGUGUUUGACUUCCAUCUCAACUAGAUGGGCGAGCUGCAUAAAAAAUAAAUAAAUUAAGAAUUAAAGUAAUACCACUUCUAACGAUUCUUCUGCACAAAGGCAUGUAAAGUAUCUAAUGUGUACAUUUGAAUGCAAUCCUGCUACACAUAGACGUAACUUUGCAAAACAAAUCUCAAGUGCACCUAUUGUGUAUACCAAACACUAACAAUAAGUUUCAGACGUAUUAUAAUGUUGUAAGAUACAAAAGACUAUUAUAAAGAUAUAAUUUUCAUUAGUUUAGUGCUCAUGAAAAUCUAUAUUUAAUAAUAUAUCUUAAUAUAUUAUUUUAAAAUUGAAAUGAACGAUCCACAAUUUGAACUUUUAAGUCAGACUUAUCACCUGAGACCAAUUUUUACAUCUAAAUAUUUUUGUGACCUUGAGGAACUGUUUUGCCUCUUUACACUACUAGCAAAUAAAGUGGAAGCCAAAUUGAGUCAUAAGAGGUUUUUAAUAAUCAACACAUGUUGUGCGUUUGACAAUCGUAGCACUCAUGCUUGAGCAACACCUACAGAUUAAGCAUGACGCAAGAGACUAUUUAUUUAUCUUACAUGAAACAUAGAGGGAGAUGCUUCUACAUAAAAUUAAAGUAGAUAUGAGAAGAUAGACACACCAGCCUGAGAAAACAGAUGCUCACAAUUAACAUACCUUAGCAGCAAAGUUCCCUCCAUAAGCUCUCACAACCUCUUUCAGUCUUAACAAAGGGGCAAUAUGAGGAUUUGCCUGACUGACAAUAAAAUGAUUGACAUUAAAGAGCUCUUUUAGUUGCAUCAUGGGUAAAUCGAUCUCCAAGCUGCCAUCCCUCCAUCUGCGUCCAGAUGCAGCUGAACCCUCUUCAGGUCCCAGAUGAAAUGGAGGAUGAUAAGGGACAAUCUCCCCACUUCUAUCCUUCGCCAUUAGUUCUUGAGCUUCAAACAGGCCGGGAAAGGCACAAGAGGCAGUCACUGCACUCCAUAUAACAACAUGAGGUGAAGUCAAGUAGUUGAGGCAUCUAGGAGGUUCGUGUUUUCUUGGGGAGCAUACUGUGAUCCCUAGAACUCGACCAGUCAUGUCAUAAGCUUCCUGGAAUGUAAGAUUGUUUGUGAGAAGUCUUAACAUCAUCUGCAGUUGUCUGAUGUCAUGAACAGCACCUUGUGUCGUAACUCUCUUAAAAACUGCAAAAACCCCACCCAUCUGGUCAAAAAACUCCAGGGAGCUCCAAGAAUCCUCAAAAAAGCUUUGAAUCUCAGGCCAAGACCUGGUAGCAAUAACAGCACACAUGAUAGAUCCCACACUCGACCCAGAAAUUAUGCGAGGCAUAAGCUUAUGCUCUACUAAUGUUUUAAUCACGCCAACGUGAAAUGCUCCAAGUGAAGCACCCCCACUUAAAAGCAAAGCUGUCCUCCCAAAAGCAUGUCUUGUCUCGUGCAUAAAAGCCAGCUUCUCCUCCAACAAAAGGUCCUCUGAAUCCGAGUCGCAAACAAUUCUCAACUGUGUUGAAACCUCAUCAAUGUAUUCCUUGAUGAGCCUGGGAACUUGAAGCCUUCCCUUGUGAAGCUCUGGGUUGCACAUAUUUCCAAGAUUUCUAACCAGGUCAGCACGCAUGCAAAAUAUUAUAUCUCUCAGGGAACAUUCUUGACGACGGUGGCGCAGCUCUUGAAGUUUAUUCCUAACAAGUUCUUCAUCAUAUAAGUUCGACUCAUUCAUUUUUGGUGUCUCCUUAUCAAGCAUCUUAGCAGCAUGAGCCCAUUCCUCAUAAGUUAAGGCUGCUCUCAUCAUAUUUCUCCAAAAUUUUCUACGGUAAGCCAUUUCAGCCUUUGUUUUUACAUUAGUGUAUCUUUUCAGAAUGAAAGCAAUUAAUGUCACAAAUACCAAAAUGCCUUGUGGAUUACGAGGAUGAAGCCACGAUAUCAUGGGUAUCACAUAUUUCAUCACACUAUAUUUAAGUCUAUGCAUAAAAUAUAUCACCAUAUGUAAGAAUUGGUGCCUCAAGUGUGACAUUGACUUGCAAAAUAAUACUCUAAAAGCAAUUGUCCGUCCCAAAAUAGUGGAAGGCCCAAUUUUGAAUGAAUCAACGUUGGCCUCAUUACUUAUAUCCAUAUCUGGAGGAAAAAUGAAAAGGGUUAGUUUCAAAAUCUGAUCUAUCUAGAAGAAGGUAAUACUAAAUAAACUGAAACUAAACAAACUUUUUUUUAAAGAAACUGAGGCUUAAGUGCUCCAGAAGUAUCUCGAAUUGUGAACAAACUGAGCUGAGUCAAGGUCUGCCGUGCCGAUGCUCAAAGUUGACUAGUUCAGAUUUUAUUGAACACAAACUAAUCAUGAGCCUGGCAAUAGUACAUAUCUUAGUGACCUAAGUUUCGCAAAUACCAACAUUUAAUAACUAUCUAACAAAUGUAAUUACAAAUUUUAUAUAUGUGUAACAUUUAUGACCUUUAAAAAAUGUACUGUUUGCACAUGAAGACAUUCGGGGCAAUUUCUUCGGCUUACAAGGUUACUACUACUGAUUGCACCAACAAACAAUAGUUUUUGGAGGUUUGUGGUCCAAGUCAGUGUACAGAGCAUACACUGGAUAUGGAUUUGGGAUUGUAACUGAUGUUCAAAAGAAAAAAGACUCCAGGCUAGACCUGGAUAAUCACAUGUAUAUCAUGCAAUGAUAAGUUAAAUUAAUCAUAAAAAUAAUUUAAGUUCACUAAAUUAAUUUAUUAACAUGAUAAAAUUAGAAAACCAAAAUCCUACUAAACAAGCUUGAUCAUGACUAAUGAGCUUAAAUAAUGCUGUUAUCAGACCUUAACUAGCCCAGCUUUCCAACAUUGGAGCCCAAAGAAUUAAUAUUAUAUCGAGCCAAAUAGAAAACUGCUCACCAACUACUCUACUCCCGUACAGCACUAGAAUCAAAUCCUCGAUAACCAACAGGGAUAACAGAAGUAAACGGUUAAUUCAAGUUCUACUAAAAUCAAAACUUGAAAGCUUGGAUGGAUUAUAAAGGGAAACAAAGGGGAUUGAAAGAUAUCUGAAAGCAGUAUAAUAUCCAAGUAACAACAAUUAUAAGAUGCAUAUACAAUUAACCACCACAAUACAAUUCGAGUCAAAAUAAAUUCUACAAUACAAUCAUAUAGAACUUAGAAACAUAUUUAGGUAAAAAAAACAGAGAAUAUCAGCUAAAUUUAGCAAAAGGGGAUCAAAUACAAGCAUAUAGAACUUGAAAACAGCAUUAUACAGAAAAAUAUCAGCUAAAGUCAGCAUCAAAUACAAUCAUCUAGAGCUUAAAAACGUAUUGUACAGAGAAAACAUAAGCUAAAAUUAGCAAAAGGGGAUCACAAAUUUACCUCAAAUGCCCAAGUUUGACCAACCGAUCAGCAGUAACUUACCUAAGCUAGUGAAAACAAUCUGCUAAAAAUUGCUCAAUUCAAAAGAAUUGAAACCCGCUCGAGUUGAGAAAUCAAACUUCAAAAAUCCAGAUAAAAAUCAUCUAUCCACGAAGGGAACUUAGCAAUCAAUAAAAGCUGAAACUGAACAAACUUCGAACUGAAAACUUGUGGCAGAAAAGCAGAGAUGGAUGAGAUAACGAUAAUGCUACGGUUCAGUUGCGUGAGAUAUGCAUCCCCUUCUUCUGCCAACUUAUAAUAAUAUUCCUAGUAUAAAAUAAUACGACUACUACAAGUUGUGUUUAUUUGUAUGUAUGUAUGUCCGUGCAUAUAAGAAAGAUGGACGCGUCGUAAAGGGAGUAUGACUGUAUGUAACGUGUCCCAUCUUGACUAUGAUUUAUUUACAAUAUCCUUUUAGAUAUAUAUUUUCAAUAUUUUCAAUGGAAUGGAUAAUACUGGGUCUGGGUCUGUUGGUGAUGACGCUGAUUUAAAAUAGACUUGCUACUGGAUUAUGAGAUUAUCUGUUGUUGAUGAGAUAUGCAAGUUAUCUGAUUCGACUUUGGACUUUUGGAAGCUGGGCUACUCUGGAACAGUUUUCUCGGUUGGGUACUUGGGCUUCUAUUGCAUAAACAUAAUCUUGAGUUCAUAUUCUUUUCGUUUCUUAACUUAUGAUGGAUCUGGAAUUCUGGCCCAGCUCUAUUUUUAAUUAUUAUGUAUCCUGAAACACGACGCCAAAUAUAUAUCCAGCACAUUUUUUUUUUAAACUAUGAUGAGUAUACGGAUGAUAUUAUAAUAUGUUUUUAACAAAAUAUAUUAAAUAUGAAAAAUUUAGAAUGAAAUAAUUUUUCACACGGCUUGACUCUCAAAAUAUAUGAAUUGAUAUUAUAUGUAUAUGUAUAUUCUAAUAUUUAUUGGAUUGGAUAAGAGUGGGAUUAAAAUAUUUAGAAACAAUAGAAGAUAACCUCGUCAUUUGAGCUCUAAUCACACUCCAGACAAUAUUUUUAAUACAAGAAUUUCGAUCGGAUGUGCUGACAUACGUGGGUUGAAUAAAUAUUAUAAAUGGCUUUGUAACGUCAUUUGAUAUUAUUAAAGUACCGAGUUUUUAAAUUUCAUGAACGAAAAAUCAUGCUGAACCUAGUAAAUUUCUGCAAUAAAUCACUCUUUUAUAGAACACUAUUUUAUAGGGAGAAAUUUCUCAAGCAUCGUAUAUGCAUACUAAACAUUAAAAUGAUCUAAUUAAUCGGAAAAACUCUACUUAAUUCAAGAAUUUUUAGAUCUGGAUGUAUUAUUAACAAUGUAAACUAAAAUAUACGACCCGAAUCUCAGUUAAAAUUGCCGCUAGAAGUGUGCGUAAACUAUAAGUUGAGCCGUUGAGGGAACAAUUGACACAACCUUUAAACCAAAAAAAACUGUGUGAUUUAAAUACAAUAUAUUAUACAAUAUACAAUAUAUACAAAUUCUUCAGGUGGUCCGAUACAGUAAAUCCACAUAAAAACAAGAAUGACUGCAUCACAGUAAUAGUAAUCAGAAUAGAACGUUAUGCUACGCUGUGAUUAGGGAUGGCAGUUUUACCCGACCCGAUGGAUACCCGACCCGUUCCGACCCGAUUGGGUCUACCCGAACCCGAUUUUUUUGGAUUUGGAUCCGGAUCUGGAUCUUAUUUUUGGACCCGAAAAAGUUUGGAUCUGGAUCUGGAUCUCAGGUAUCCCGACCCGAGACCCGACCCGAAACCCGAAACCCGAUUUAAACCCGAUCCGAACCCGAAACCCGAUAAAACCCGAUACAAAAUAUUAUACAUGUAUAUACAUAAAUACAUACAUACAUAUAUGUUAAAUGUAAAGUAUAUAUAUUGAAAUAUUAUGAAUUAUUAGGUAUGAAUCUUAACAUUUUACUUAAUUUUAUAUUUGCAAUAUAAAAUUUAUAUUUAUUAUAUCAAUAUUUUAUUUUUCUCAAUUAUUGUGCAUUAAAAAAUCUAAAUACAAUAAAAAUAAUAAAAUAUAAAUGAUAAGUUGAAUGAUUGUAUACAAUUGAGUUAACAUGUUUCACGUGUUUAUUGUAAUAAAUGAAGCCUGUAAUUCCCUUUUUUAUAUUUCUAAAGUUAAAAAAAAAUCCAUAAUCACAUUUUUUAUAGAUUUAUAAUUUAUAAUUUGUAUUUAAUUUUAUUUAUUAAAAUACCCGAAUUAGACCCGAACCCGAACCGAAACCCGAAAAAACCCGACGGAUUGGGUCUGGAUCUUCAUUUUUCAGACCCGGACCCGGACCCGACCCGACCCGAAAUAUAAUGGACCGGGUCUGGAUCUCAAGAAACCCGACCCGAUCCGACCCGUUGCCAUCCCUAGCUGUGAUUACUUCGUUGUUGGAAUCUUAAAUAGAGACCAGGUGUAUGCAUGAGAUAUGGAUUAUUUAUGCGCAGUCUAUCUUGACAUUAUGGUUUAAGGAUGCAACACGAGUUAGAAAAGUAGGAUUGUUGAUCAUUUUCUAAAAAACUAUGUCCCUUUUUAAAAAAAAUUUAUUCACUAGUUUGUUGAUGUCCAUUUCUACUUUUCUUUGCCCAUCUCAGAGAUGGAUGACCGAAGACUUUCCUUCUUCAAAGUAAAUGCUUUUUGUCAUUGGCUCCACCUAUCAUCUUAACGUUCCAGAUGAUCCACACAAUAUUUUCUUUGAAUUUCAACUUAUAUGUGAUAUUGUAACACUGAUAAUUUGGGUUUUGGCUCAUUUUGCAAAAAUAUAAUAAGAAUUUAGUAUCAAAAAUAGUAUAUAGAUAUGUAUAUUUCAAAAAAAUUAAUACUAAUAUAUCAAUAUAUUAUACCUUCUUAAUAUUGAUUUCUAAAAGAAUAUAUGAAUAUGUUUUUUCAAAUUAAUAUCUACUUUUUGAAAGAAAAAAAUAGCACAUGUUUGGCACUUUUUCCUUCCUCCACAGACUACAAUUUUACACCAUCUGGCAACUACUAAUAUAAAAUACUAGUAAUAAAGAAAAAUUAAAGCUGUUGCCAAGUCAAUAAGCCAAUUUAUGAAAAGUCAAAUUUCAGGCAUCUUCCGAUUGUGAUAUUGAAUGUCCCUCCGACAGUUACUGCUGGAAUCAAAAAUCAAGUCAGAAAGGAAAACGCCAAUAACUAUAGCCCAACACACACCUUAGGUUUCUCACCUUUGAACUCCUCAAAACAUAAACAUAAACAAAUACUGCUACAAAUCUCACCUCUGAGCUCAUCGAAACAAAAACUCAAAAACAAAAAUAUUGCAAGAACAAGAAUAUAAUGCUAUAAUACUCAUCUGUCUUCAUUACAAGCCUGUGCUAGUCAUAUAACAGUCAAUUCGAAAAAACAUCUUUUUUGUGUUCUUGAUCUGAUACCAGAUCAUGUCCUUGCAAGAUAGAAAAGCCAAAGACAGGAUCAGCCAAGAUCCUGAAUCUCGAGAUGUUUCUAAAGAAGUUAAGGGUAAGAGGAUGACAUAUAAAUCACCAGUUCCGCGUCGUCUGAAUGGCAGUAACAGAGCAUCAACGGAGCCUAAGAUAAUGUUGAAGAAGAUAAGAUCGAUCAAGCUUUAUAAGCUUUACGGCUUGAAGAGACGGGGAACUUCACAGUUAGAUUGGAAGUCUACGGAUUCAUCCAGCAAUGAUUUUAGCGACGGGAAAAAAUAUAUUGAGGCAAGUCCUUGCAUUUUUACAAGUACUAUUUAUUAUAUUGGCAGAUUGAAACCCAAAUCUCUUAGUACAACAUCAAUAUCGAAAGAAUAAUAAUCAGUAAAAGGAUGAUAUUGUCGACAUAAUACAAAUUUUGCCCACUUACUGAAUUAUCUGCCAAAGGAAGGAAACCCAUACUUGUAUAGAUUCAUAUCUGUGUAGCUUCGACUUUUCUUGAUGUAUGAACAUGCUUAACAGGUAGAAAGUGGAUCUGAAGGAGAGUCAUACAGUUCAUCAUCUGGUGGAUCAACAGCAAGUAUGACAUUAUCUCUGCAUCAGAAAGAGCGAAAAAGAGAGUCCAAGUCCAAGAAGCAUGCAUGCCCCAGCUGUUUUAGGCCAUUUGAUAAGGACACAAAACCGAUAUUGAUGGACUCUUCACAGCAGUCUUUGGAGGAAGGAUCAGAUGCAUUACCAGAUUAUGCUACGCCCAACAAAGGACCAAAGAAGCAAGUUCAAUCACCUCCCUCUACUUCAGACUCGAGCUUCUUUAGCAACGAGUCCAGUGAACCGAGCGUGACUGGUUCACAUUUCUCCCAAUCAAAAUCAGCUGCUUCAAGUAAGAAAUCUUUGCAAACUCUGACGAAAUCAUCCAGUACAAGAACUGGGGGGAAUCUUAGAAAAAAGACUAGCUUCAAAAUAAAAGGCUCUUUAGUGGGAAAACCCCCAAACAUUGUGCAAGAUUUGGGUCUUAAUAGGGCUACUUGUUCCUCUACACUCAAGGAUUCAAAGUUUCCUAAGCAGGUUGAACUCAAACCUGGUCAAAGUGAAUCCGAAAUAAUUUCAGCCAAGAAGGUAUGUCCCUAUCAUCAUUGUUCCCUCCAUGGCCAUUCACAUGCCCCUGAGCCCCCACAAAAGCGCUUCUUAUUCAGAAGGAGGCGCACGGAGAGGACCCCAAAGAGUAUAGAACCAAAAGGCUUAUCACCAGAUGCAGUAACAUCUUCUGGAGGUAAAAAGAAAGCGACUCAAACUGGCAAAACAUUCUCCAGCACUGAACCAGCUUCAGCAAAAUCCAGUCACAGCACAAGGAGCUCUCAUGUCAAAGAUCACAAGACUUUAGAUUCUUCAGUGACUACCAUUACCAAACCAAGAAUUGAGUCAUACACAGGAGCAACUCUGGAAAAGGAAAAUGCAACUUCAGAUAGCUGUUCUGUUGAAACAAAGCAGCAUAUGUCCACUUCCGAAACAGAACAUACACAACUAAAUGGUGAAGAAGUGCAUGUCUCAAGUGCUGGUAUUGACAUUAUAGCUGCCACAAUGUCAGGUAAAUAUUCAUAUUUUACUGAUUUACGACCAAAAUUCAAGAACCCAAAUUCAAAGGGAACACCUAAAUUGACUAUAUUUUUGUGCCCAGGAACCACCACAGAUGAAACAUCAACCUUACCACAAGUAUUGACCUCAGAAGAUUCUGCUGAAGCAACAAAAGAUUGCAUGGGGGUUUCUUCUGUAAGUUGUUGCACUUCUGAGGAACUCAGUGCCUCGAGUGAAGAGAAAGCUGGAACCUCUUAUAGAGGGGCUGAACUCAUUACUGAUUCCAUCUCACCCAGAGAUAGUAAACCUAGCAAAGAAAAUAACUUCAGUCCAGUCAUUGAUGAAGCAAGCAACACCCAAAUCAAGAAAAACAACCAUGUCAGCAUGUGGCAUAUGAUACAUCAACAGAUGGUAUUAGGUUUAGCUGAGAACCAGCAAGUUCUUCCAGGACUUGGGGAACAGCAAGACAAUGAUGACAAGACAUUACCUGACACAAAUAAUUCUCAGUCGAGAGCUGAAAUUUUCAAGUCAGAGAUGGAUGCUGAAAAUCAAACUCAAGAAAGUAAAGUACUCGAACUUCGAAAGAUUUUUGCAAUUAAACUGGUACGAGAAGCAAUUGAGAAAAUUCUACUUCCAGAAGUUGAUGACCAGACAUCUGAUGUGAUGUCCAUUACAAGCGAAGUUGUUUCUGACGAAGAGCAUCCAGACAAGAUUCAUGAUGGAGGUGAAGAACAAAGUAUUUCAACUCCCAAUGAAUUCACUGAACACCAUCUCCUGGAGAACGAAAACAAAGAACUGGGGAGCAAUAAAUCAUACGAUGCAAAAAAAUCAAGUCUAACAGAAGUUACCGUCUCGGUUUCAGAAGAUAAAACAAGCAAAAAGUCAGAGAAGAAAGCGCUCAAGGGCUGGAGUAAUCUGAGGAAAAUAGUCCUUUUAAGGCGGUUUGUCACAGAGCUGGAGAAAGUGAAAAAAUUCAAUCCUGUGCAACCACGUUAUCUUGCUUCAGAGCCUGCAUCAGAAGCAGAAAAAAUAUCUCUGAGACGCCAAAUGAUGGGUGAAAAGAAAAAUGCAGAGGAGUGGAUGCUUGAUUAUGCACUUCGACAAGUGGUUAGUGAAUUAGCUCCCACUCAGAAAAGAAAAGUAGCACUGCUUGUUAAAGCCUUUGAAACUGUGGUGCCUCCCCAAGAAGAUCAAAACAUUCAAGUUGCAACCCCAAAACAGAAAAUACCCACAGACCUUAAAGACAAGGAAAUUAAAAGUAAUAUUUAUUUGAACUCUGAUCUACAAGGUGGGGCACCUGAGUUUGGUGCUGCAGAAUUGGAUAUCCCUAGAAGUGUAGAUGGAAAGACAGGUUCUCUGGUGCAAAGCUCUGCCACAGAAAGGAAUGAUGAACUAAAUCAAUCUGACAUUGUUGUUCCAACCUUAGAUACUGCACACCUGAAGAAACUUACUGCAGACAAAGAAGAGACAAUAGGACAAUCUAGGCUAGAAGACAUAGCACCUCUGGACAUUCCACUUCAUACAGAUACGAGUCCAGCCAGCGUAGCCAACCAAGAAGAAAAAACCCAGUUGUACAAGCAAAACGUCAAAAUGUGGCACAUGAUAUAUCGGCAUGUUGUAUCAGGUAUUGCUGAGAAAAUUGGAACCCAACUACUUGAUGUUGAUGGAGAAGAUGGAGGAGAAGAAAUAGGCGAAGGCAACGAGUUGCUAGAUGGUGAUUCUUCUAGUCCUAUGAAAACAGAUCAGUAUGACACCAAGGAAAAUCAUGAUACAAACCAUAAAAACGUUGAAUUUAGCAGGAGUGAUGCUCUUAAACUUGUACAAGAAGCAGUUGAUGAGAUCCUUCUCCCUGAUAUUCAAGAUGAUUCAUCAGAUUCAAAAUCAAUUGCCAGCGACACACUUCCAGACCAGGAACUCAUAAAUAAACAUCAAGGUGAUGUUGACGUACCAGGCAUCAUUAAAAUCAAUGAAACUGCAGAGGACAGCUUCAUAGAUGGUGUCAGAAGUUCAGAGGAAAGUGGCGUCUCAUUGAAUCAAGAGAAUGAAGCAUCUCCCGCUGGCGAUAUCAAUAUCCAGGUUGAUGAGAGAGCAGCAUCAUUUGUAAAAACUAACUUGCUGCAGCAAAAAUCCAAGAACUGGAGCAAGCUGAAAAAGUUGAUCCUCCUUAAAAGAUCUAUCAAGGCACUAGAAAAUUUCCGUAAGCUAAAACCAAAACCAUCCCAACAUAUGCCCUUGACAAGUGACCCAGAGGAAGAAAAAGUUAAUUUGAAGCAGCAAAUGACAGAUGAGAGAAAAAAGGCUGAACAGUGGAUGCUGGAUUAUGCAGUUCAACAUAUUGUCACCAAAUUAACCCCAGCUCGGAAAAGGAGAGUGGCAAUGCUUGUUGAAGCUUUUGAAGCAGUUGUUCCACUUCCAGAAGUUUGAUGCAAAAGACGCAUCACAAACCUAUCAAAGUAAUUCAGCAUGGUAAGUACUUCUUGCUAACCUUUUCUAAGUUAUAAAUACUCUGGUUUGCACCAAAUAACAUGUCCUGUUAGUUAUAAAUAUCCCAAUUACACUAAGAGGGCCUUAACUGAAAUGAUUUAAAUUCAGUAUUAGGGCAUUACUAAAACUAGGGAGGACAAGAUGAUUUCCCAAAUAUCCAAUACAAGUAUUUGCAUUACACAAUUGCUGGCACUUGAUCUUUUUCGAAAAAUGAAUACGCAGGUCACGACUAUUUGUAGAAGUUAAUCUCUGGAGAGGAUUUCCACAAUGAUGACUGCUUCAGUUGUUCAGUAGCACCAUUAUUAUCAUAUCCAAGAUCUUAGGGCUUCAUGUAUUCAAGUUUCAGAUAUAUGUAAUUUUUUGUUCAGGAGUUCAAAUCGUAGACCAUUGCUAAAAUUCAUUGGUAAGAUAUAGGAACAUUUAUACAUUCUUUUAAUUAGAGUGUUUUUGUAUAGCUACUUCAAGGACAACAGUGUUACCUGUCCCUAUCAUAUGGAGUGCGAGUUUGUAUGUGUAUAGACAUUUUAUUUAAUGUAAUGAAUUUUUUUUGUAAGUACCAGUAAGUGUAACUGCUUGACUGAAGAUUAUUUUCCCUGAUCAUGACAAAGAUACCAAUAUAUAAAACUUGCAGGAAAUAAUUGAAGGUUCUUAUUUAGUCAUCAGGCUAAUGAAAGCUGUAGCGUUUAACAAUGACAUGAAAAAAUUAUCAACUAAUUGACACAUAGAGUAGAACACAUUGUCCAAAUAAUCAAUUUCACGAUAUCAGAAACAGCAAACUCUAUGUUCAUAUCUUCCUGUACUACCCUAAGGAGUUAAGGUGCUGGAAAGGGCACUAUUAUCAACACAUCGUAUAACGAAUUCAUUUAGCAAUCUUACAACCAGAUACUAGAAUACUACACUGAUAACGGAUCAACAGAAAUUGAGGUGAAAUAAGUUGAAGUCACGGCAUAUAAAGACAUUGCAUAACAGAGCAAAUUGUAGCAAAAUAAUUACAACAAAAAAACAGGAAUAUCAGUUAUUCAGAUGAACUAUGUUGAACCCUACACAUUAUUUACUCAAUCGGUGCUUGAAUAAUUUUGUCUAGAAUAAAUUCAUACUAAAAUAAAUCAAUUAUCAAUAAAGGGGAAUUGGGGAAUAUAUAGCACGUGGUAUAAAAUGUGAAAUAAUUCCAGCUCUUGCCUGAGUGAAUGAAACAGACCUCAGAAGCACAGUCUUGUAAGUGGUGUGUGUUGUGCGCGGGGAUUUUGAUGGCUCUACUUCAAACUUCAAAUUUACGGGUCGGAAACGGAAAGUGAGUAAGACUGUGUCCAGAAGAAGUCUCAAUAUUGUAUUGGUCAACUUAAAGCAAGAGGCCCGUAGAUACAUGGGCUUCCAGAACAAUCAGCUAAUCGUAUUACCUAAAACAUAGAAUUGUACUGAUGACAUAUUUAUAUUGUUACGGGUUCUAAACUCGAGAAAACUCUCGGCGAUCACUUCCCGAAGACAAACGUUAUUUUGGUAUUCGAGAAUUUUGGUAAUACUUGCUAUUGCAACUCUGUUUUUCAGGUAUCUCUUUGUUUUUUUGUUUAUUACUUUUAUUUUUUGAUUUAUUUUGAGUGGAAUGCGAAAAGAUGUUGACUUUAAUCUUGUUUGUUUGUUUAAUCUUUGUGUUUUGUUUGGUUUUGAUGUUCAUUUCACAUACGACGAAGUAACGUGAUCGAUAGCAUAGCGGUGGAGACCGAUGGUGGCGGUGACGGCGGUUUUCGGGACAGGAUUCGGUUUCAGAAAGAAAAGCGCCAAUUGUGCGUUAAUUGUGCCUCCUAAUUGAGGGCGUUAAUUGUGCCUCGUAAUUGAGGGUGUAAAUUGUGUCUCUUUAUUGAGGAGCGUAAAUUGUGCAUUAAUUAAGUACAUUAAUAUUUUAUUAUUAUGCCUUAAUUAAGAGCUUAAUUGUCUCAAUCAUGAGUUAUCAUGAUUGUGGGAAUAUUUUAAUAUGAUCUGUUAAAUAGAUCGAUUUAUAUUCUUCUUGUUUCUCUUGUUUUAUUUUCAGGAUUAUUGGAAAAAGAUCGAUUUUUCUUUUCGGACAUUAAAGUUUUAUUAUCUAAUUUUUCUCGAUCAUCUUACAUGUCCAACGGUUAGAUAAUAAGCUUUCACGAUGAAUUGCCGAUACUCGUUGAGAUUUAUUCUCAUUUCAAAAAAAAAAAAAAAAAAACCUCCUCCGUGUUACCUAGUUAAAAUCCAUAACGCGUGUUGUCCUGGGUCCGCAAGUCCGCCUCGGCCCAUAUACGCCCGUUGACUCGCUUUACUUUGACUCCGCACCCAAACGCGGCAUUACAUUAAAAAUGAUCAUUCCGAUAAAAAUCAUCUAUAAUUAAAUAUCAUCUGCUUCUAGAAAAUAAUUGUCGUAAAAUAAUUGUUGUUUUUUUCAAAAGAAUUUUUAUAUAUUUUUCAAAAUCUAUAUUUGAAUUACAAUUUCUAAUAUUUGACAAAAAAAAUAAGAAAUUUAAUUUUAUAAUGUAUAAUGUUUCCAAAAAUAACGCUUAAGAUGGGAUGGUAUUAGUGUUACCCAUGUUAUAUAUUAUGGAAAAUGUUAUAUUCCGAUCAACCUUCUUUUUUUUUUGCCAACUCCGAUCAACCUUCUAAUAUCCAAAACAAUUUGUAAGAAUUUGUAUCGAAAGUGUAUGUAUGAUUUGUGCAGAUACAGGGGCUGGGAAUUGAAUAUGCUCUGGAACUAAAAAUGCUGCUCUGAAAAAAACAAUUUUCUAUAUUAUUCAUCGUUUGGUUUUUAUUAGUUCGAUGUCCAGAACUCCAAAAGUACUGUGUACAUAGGCAUGAGCAUGAUGCGGUUCGGUUCGAUUUUGACUAAAAACCGAACCGGUUCGGUUUUGACUAAAAACCGAACCGUAACCAUAUUAAUUCGGUUUCUAAAAUCAAAAACCAAAACCAAACCAUAUGUAAUUGGUGCGGUUCGAUUUUCUAAAUUCGGUUUCGGUUUUAAAUGGUGCGGUUUCGGUUUCUAAACCAAAUAUAUAAAAUGUGUUUUGUUAUAUUUAUUUAUUUAAUUUUAGUAAGAUUAGCACUAACAUUAAUAAACAUUAACCCAAGAAUAUG